UACCGGUAUGUCUUGGUCCCAAGCAAGAAAACAAGUAGUGCAAUCACCAUGGCAAUACAGGGGAUUCCAAAUCCAAGACCCCAAUUCAGGUUGUCUUGAAUGUAGUUCAAGACAAAGAGAGUUAUUAGAGUACCAAAGCACAUAGAGAAGUACCACCAGUUGAAGAAUGAGCUUUUGGCUUUGCCCUUCGUUGGAUCUUGUCCAUCAAACUGGUCAGCUCCAAAAGCCUGGACACAGGGCUUGUGCCCACCUUGCCCAACUGCUACAAGAUAUAGAGCGAAAAAGAAGAGGAUUACUUGUAGUUAAGGAGGAGAACAAGAACCGAUUUCAUCACUUUUUUGGCAUUCAGAAGGGCUUGGAGAAGGAAGCACAGCAGAUACCGCUAACAAGCCUAGCCCCUGUGGUUCACAGAAUCAAAGUUGAAGAUGAUUAUCACAAAAUUACGACAGCAACUUAGAAUACUAUGUCAAAAAGCACUCAAAACAAUUUCCAAAAAUCAAAAUUGACAUUUUCAGGACAUUCUUUACAAGGAAGAGUUUUCUAUGCAUCUUUAAGCAUAUUAGUCUCACGGUGAGUUCUUCCAAUAAUAGAGCAUGGCGUGUAUAAACCAGACUCACUCUUUUGAGUAACUGAACAAACCAGCUGCUGUCUAAACGCAUUCUCUGAAAAUCACCCACAAAUUGGAAGCAACUUUUGUUGUAACAAGAGCCUAAUGGUCAAGGUCUGGCUUCAACAAAUACUUUUCCAAUUCUCACAAAUGGGCUUUCCCCAUUUCCUUUGAUUGUAAACCAAUAAGUUCUAGUUCCAAGCAAGAAAACAAGCAGGGCUGCAACCAUGACAAUGUAGGGAAUUCCAAAUCCAAGACCCCAAUUAAAGUUGUCUUCAAUGUAGCUGACAAUCAAAUAAGUUACUGAAGUACCAGUAGAUACACCAAAAAGCCACCAGUUGAAGAAUGAUCUUUUGGAUUUGCACUCCUCUAGAUUUUGUCCAUCAAACUGAUUAGCUCCAAAAGCCUGUGUGCAAGGCUUAUGACCCCCUUGCCCAACUGCUACUAAGUAUAGAGAGAAAAAGAACAAUAUUAUCUGGAGUUGAGGAGGAGAAUAUGAUGUGAAGUAGUCCACGUUUUGGCUUUGGUAGGCGAUGAGGGAAGGAAGCAUAGCAGAUAAAGUUAACAAGCUCAGCCCCUGAGAUCCAUAGCAACCCAAGUCAAAGAUAUAAAUCGAUCGUUCUAUUUUUUACCAGAAGAAUUUGUUUCUCGCAUUGGUGCUUAGACUAAAAAUCCACUUAUACUUGGUAUUUUAAGAAUAACUUGGGAAGUGGGGAGACCAUGGAUAAGUCUUUAAAAUUUAGAACUAACUAAGCUUAUUAAAUUAAUAAAGUUUGUCCUAAUCCACAAGUGUGCUUCCCCAAAAAUUAAAAUUUUCAAAUGUAGAUUGUUACUUAGGAAAUAAAAAGGUGACAAUUUUCAACAAGUGGUCAAAGCAAGAUAAAGCUAUGAAACCCCUUGGAUGAGAAAUACACAAACACAUUUACUAAUGGAGGAAAAUGCUUUUGACGUAGAAGUAAUUAAUGAGUGCAUGGACUCUUUGUGGUGUACUAUGUAGUAUAUGAUGUGGAAUAAUAGUUGAUUAAUGGCCAGCUAGCUGUCCAUAACCUAUUAAUAAUAUCACUUUAUGCUCUUUUGCUUAGUUUUUACUAUUUUAAAUCAAUGGACCCCAAAGCUUUGGGCUUGCAAGCUCAAGUUUUUUAAUGCAAUUGACCACUUUUUUAAUGGAAUUGAUAUAUGCAUAGAUACAUAUAUAAUAUUUAAAACUUUCAAGAGAGAAAAAAAAAAGUUGUACAAAAAUCAAAGUAUAAAUCCUAUUAUAUCAAACAAUAAAUUAAAGAUUCUUUCAUCUCAUACAAAUUCAAUUUUGAUACAUAUUAGUUAAUACUAAUUUUUUAUUCCAUUUGCACUUUGUAGGAUAAACUCUCCGAUCUAUAUUUAUAAAUUUAAAUCCAAGUUAUCUAAAUUUUUCUAAAAUUAAUAAUAAGAAUAAAUAUUUGGUUAAAAUGGAUUAAAUAAUCUUCAAAUUGUAAAUCUAACCAUUUCCGUAUUUUUUCUUGAAAAAUAACUCAUUUUUUUACAUAAAUAUCCUUUGUCAUUUUGAGUAUUUACAUAGGUUUUAAAAGAGAUGGUUAUUUUUAUAAGAAAACAAUGAGGGUAUUUUUGUCCAAAUGAGAUAAAAAAAAAAAAAAAAAAAAGGAGGUCGAAGGUUAAAUUUCAAAAAUUAGUCUUUCAAAUACCUUAUUAAUCAAAUAACCCAAAGAAGAGGACCCUUCUUAUGAUGAUUCUAAAACAGUGGUUCUGGGUAUGUAGAGGACCCAUUUUCGCUAAUAAGAAGCUAAACUUAAGGCAUAUUCAACCACCAUGGGAUGGUAGGAUAGUGGAUGAGAGAGAGAGAGACCAACCAGGAUGUAGAGAAGAAAAGCAAGAACAAUGGUGCGAUAUUGACCAAGGUAAGAAUCUGCAACAGAAGCUCCUAAAAGAGGUAGCAAGGUCGUCGUCCCACCCCAUGUAUUCACGUUAGCAGUAGCCAUAGCUGUGGACUGCCCCAGAGGUCCCGUAAGAUAGUUUAUAAGAUUGGAUCCUAUGCAUAGUUUAUAAGAUUGGAUCCUAUGCCACAGUAAGCAAACCUCUCCGCAACUUCAACACCUUUGCAAAUUCUCCAUUUUGCAUGAAGUUAUAAGGCAUAUUGUUAUUGGGUGUCCGGUAGAAAAAUGAAGAACAAAUUAUGGUUUCUGGUGCUUACCUAUGAUAAAAAUUGCAGAUCUCCAACCACCGGAGCUAGAUCUCUUGGACGGAUAACCUUGAUGAUCAAUGGCACCAUCGACCAUGUCUUCCAAGAAGGGAGAUUUCAAGCUUCAGAGCAUGUUAGCCAUGUUGGGUUUUUCCUCAUGUGGAAUGCCCAAAUUAAAAGCCCAUAUUUAAGGCCUCUUAGGCCUUUAUAUAAAAGGAUUAGAAGAAGAAUCCAUCUUCUUCUUCUUUUUCUUUCAAUUUUUUUGCAACCACCCGAGGUAGAAGAAAAAAGAGUAGAAGGAGAAAAAAGAAAGAAGGGGAAAACCACCAUUUUUGAAGUUAGAGAGCAAAAUUCAAUUUUUCUUCACUAUCCAGAUUUCAUCAAAGGUUCGAUCUUGCUUCGUCUGUGGGCCAAUCGACUUGAAAUUUGGAGAAGAUGUUUGUGACUCAUUGAUCUUCAAUCUGAACGGUGGAGAUCGAAUUUGGAGUUCCGAACGGUCGUCUUUCAGUCCGAGAACAGAGUCUUUGUUUUGGUGAUUUUUCUAUCCGGACAAUUUUGAUCAUGAACUCCGAUCAAGGUUAAUAUGUGGUUCGAUUGAGCUGAUUUUUGGUGAGUACGUUCAAAACUCAUUGAUCUUCAUUCAAAACGGUGGAGAUUGGAUUUGGAGUUCAGAACAGUUAUAUUUUAGUCUAAGAACAAUGGUUAUGUUUGGUAAGAUUUCUCCAUUGUCUUUAUGCAAAGUUGUUGAAAUUGCCAAUAUUAAUUUGUCUUGAGAUAUGGUUGAUGUAUGCCUUUAGUUUUAUCUAGAGAGAAUUGUGUAACUCAUUGAUUAUAUUAGUGGUUUUUUUAAGUGGCCUAAGGGUCCCGUGGUUUUUACUUCUCACAUUGGAGAAGGUUUUCCAUGCUAAAAAUUGUUGGUGUUCAUAUACUUGUUGAUUGGGUGAAUUAUUGUUGCUCUAUUCGAUUGAUUCCUAUUAGGUUCUCACAAGAGGGGAUAAAAUCUGGUUGUGCAUUGUUUGUGUUUAUCCCAUCAAAGUGGUAUCAGAGCAUUAGUUCAAGAUAAUUUGUGUCUUGUGUAGAACAAUGAAAAGCAAUACAAGUAGAGAAUGAUUACUCUGAAUGGCUCCAAUUAUCAUGUUUGGAAAGGAAAAAUGGAAGACUUAUUGUAUGUAAAGGAUUAUUAUUUGCCUAUGUUUGCUCCUGAAAAGCCAGAAAAUAAAACUGAUGCAGAAUGGAAUUUACUUCAUUGACAGGUUUGUGGUUAUAUCAGACAAUGGGUAGAUGAUAAUGUUCUCACUCAUGUUAGUGAAGAGGAACAUGCACGGAGUCUAUGGAACAAGCUCGAACAGUUAUAUGCUCGAAAGGCUAGUAACAAUAAAUUGUUUGUGAUCAAGAAGAUGAUUAGCUUGAAGUAUCAAGAUGGAACUCCUAUGAUAGAUCACUUGAAUACAUUCCAAGGUAUUAUUAAUCAGUUGGUUGGAAUGAAUAUCAAGUUUGAGAAAGAGGUGCAAGGGUUGUGGCUUCUUGGUACAUUGCCGGACUCGUGGGAGACGUUUAGACCUUCUUUGUCUAACUCAGCCCUAGAUGGUACUAUGAAUAUGGAUUUGGUUAAAAGUUGUGUUCUGAAUGAUGAGAUGAGAAGAAAUUCAUAGGGUUCUUCUUCACAGCCAGAUGUCCUAGUUACUAAAAAGAGGGAAAUGAGUAAGAGUAGAGGUCUGAAGAACAAAGAUAGAAGCAAAAGUAAGACUAACAAGUUUGCCAAUAUUGAGUGUCACUAUUGCCAUUUGAAAAGGCAUAUAAGGAAGUAUUGUCGCCAAUUGAAGAGAGAUAUGAAACAAGGGAAAGUGAAGGACAAGAACAAUGACAAUGGUGGUAAAGAUGACCGAGUUGCCACUAUCAUUUUAGAUUUCCUUAUUGUUUGAUUACUACCCAAAAAGUGUUAUUUUACACCUUUAAUUCAUUAUGUUUUAAGCACUUUUGUGUAGUAGUUCUCCAUCUUUAUCCCAAUUGGCAUGUUAAGGACCUAGCAAUGACUUCUAAUCAUAUUUGUGGCUAGUUUUAGUGUUUUGACAGCUUUUUGGAUCAUUAAAACAAGCCAAGUAAAGGAGAGAAGCAAAGAGGAAAAACAAGCAAAGAGAAAAUGAAGAAAACAGAGGACAGCAGCUGCAGUCUUCCUUUGCACUUUUGGAGAACUUUCUGAUGUCCAUUUUCUACAUGCUAUAUACCAUUUCAAAGCUCAGGAAGUCAAGAAUCCAACGCUUCAAACCGUGUACGAUUUGGAGCUGAAAUGAGGAAGAUAUGUCCUUCGGAAGACAACUGCUCCAGGCUUGUGCGAAAUUCGCACAACACCUUGAAAUUCGCACAACACCUUCAGCUUGUGCGAAGCUUGUGCGAAAUUCACACAACACCUUCCAAAUUCGCACAGCCCAUGCGUGGUGCGAAUUUUCCUCUAUUUUUGCCGACUCCACUUUAGAUCUUUUCCUAUGUAUUUUUUGAUGUAAUUUCCUUUCUUAUCCCUGUAACUAACCAAUCACAAGCUUUUGCUUUUGUAAAGACUAUAUAAGGGGUGGAAAUCACCUCUUGGAACUAACGAACAUGUGUUACGCUUUACACUUAGUGAAAUACAGAGCUCUCUCAUUUUUCCUUUUCUCUCUACUAUUUUCUUUUUCUUGGAAGCCAAACAACCUCUGAGAAUGUUUUCCCAGAGGAUGAGAGGCUAAACUUUUGGUUUCUUGGAGUGAAGGAAGCUAGGUGAAAAGUCCAGAUGCAAAGGUGGAAAACUCUCGUGCAUUAAAUACAGGUAGUUGUAGUUCAUAAAUGGCUUCUAAAUCCAAAGUUUUGCUUUAAAUCCCUUAGAAUCACUUUGAAUGGCCAAUACAUGGUAAGCUUCAGGUCUCUAUGGAUGCUUAUUGCUAGAUCCAUAUCAGUCCAUUAGUUAUCAUGUACGAGCCAUUGGAAAGUGACUCAAGGUGAAGACCCAUAGUGUCUAAAGCCAUUAAUGGACCUUGACUACCAUUUCUAUUGACUUUUUAUGGAUUAAAUCUUCAUUGUUAAACCUAUACCGGUUCGGGAAAUAACUAUAGGUUAAAUCCCCAAUGCGAGGAGAAAAAUCCGGAAUUUUCCACUUUGUAUUUUGAACUUGAUCCUAGCAACCCUUAGCUCCGGGAGACUUUCUUUCUUCCAUUUUUACUUAGUUUUAUGUUAGUUUAGUUUCAAACACCUUUCAAAACAAAUUUCAUUUUCUUUUAAACUUUAAGUUUUUGAUAAGGAAAUCAUUAAAUUCAAUUUCUAAUCUCGAGUAUAUCACUAGUAGAAUGAAAACGCAUCCCAGAGUUCGACCCUAGAGCCACUAUGCUAUAGUAGCUUUGCUACGCUAGUAUGAGGUCAUAGGUUUUAUAAAUGUUUUUUAUUAAAUGACCCGACUGGAGUUUCAUGCGAAUCAAAAUGGCGUCGUUGCCGGGGAUGGUGCCACAAUACAGUGAUACAACCUUUUAGAGGCUACUAGUGAUUUUCAUCACAAGUUUGGUGAAUUCCUUUUUCACUAACUUCAUUUCCUUUCUUUUAAUUGUAGAAUUCCUUUUGUUUUCUUUCUAACCUUAACUUUUUUCUAGUUUUCUUUUGUUUUUGUUGUCUUUGUUUUGUUUUCAGGUAAGUUGUAACUUGUGUAUGCCCUAUUGGAUUCGGGACCAAGAGGGAAGAUUAGUAAGGAUUGAGAAUCCUCAAGACACAGAGUUGGAUAUCUGUGUAAACAUCAUGGACCCUCCACAAGAGGAUCAUAAUUCUCAACAUGGUCAAGGGGAUAAUCCAAAUGCAUAUCUAUCCAUGAGGGAUAGAAUGCAUCCACCAAGGAUGAGUGCACCCUCAUGCAUUGUACCUCCUCUUGAGCAGCUGAUUAUAAGGCCCCAUAUUGUGCCCCUCCUACCAAAUUUCCAUAGAAUGGAGAGUGAGAAUCCAUAUGCCCACAUCAAGGAGUUUGAGGAGGUGUGCAAUACUUUUAGAGAGGGAGGAGCUUCAAUAGACUUGAUGAGACUCAAGCUAUUCCCUUUUACUUUGAAGGACAAGGCAAAAAUAUGGCUUAAUUCUUUAAGGCCAAGGAGCAUAAGGAAUUGGGUUGAUCUUCAAGCCGAAUUUUUGAAGAAAUUUUUCCCCACCCAUAGGACCAAUGGGUUGAAGAGACAAAUCUCAAACUUUUCUGCAAAAGAAAAUGAGAAGUUCCAUGAAUGUUGGGAAAGGUAUAUGGAGGCCAUCAAUGCUUGUCCUCAUCAUGGCUUUGAUACAUGGCUCUUGGUGAGCUAUUUUUAUGAUGGGAUGUCUUCCUCCAUGAAGCAAAUUCUUGAAACCAUGUGUGGGGGAGAUUUUAUGAGUAAGAAUCCAGAAGAGGCCAUGGACUUUUUAAGUUAUGUAUCUGAAGUAACAAGAGGAUGGGAUGAGCCCCACUCAAGGGAAAUGGGAAGGAUGAAAGGUCCUGUAAAUCCAAAGGGUGGUAUGUACAUGUUAAGUGAAGACAUGGACAUGAAAGCUAAGGUGGCAACAAUAGCAAGGAGGUUGGAAGAACUUGAGUUGAAAAAAAUGCAUGAAGUCCAAGCCAUUUCCGAGACACAAGCCCAUGUCAUGCCAUGCACCAUUUGCCAAUCAUGUGAUCAUGUGGUAGAUGAGUGCCCAACCAUGCCAACUGUGAGGGAGAUGUUAGGUGAUCAAGCCAAUGUUGUGGGGCAAUUUCGGCCUAACAACAAUGCACCUUAUGGAAACACCUAUAAUUCAAGCUGGAGAAACCAUCCAAAUUUUUCUUGGAAACCAAGACCACCUCCAUACCAACCACAAGCCCAAACCCAAGCACCUCAACAAACCUCUUCAGUAGAGCAAGCCAUUGCGAACCUAAGUAAAGUCAUGAAUGACUUUGUGGGUGAACAAAAGGCAAUCAACUCCUAAUUGCACCAAAAGAUUGAAAAUGUUGAGAGUUCUCAAAUUAAGAGAAUGGAGGGGAUGCAAAAUGAUCUAUAUCAGAAGAUAGAUAAUAUUCAAUACUCUAUCUCUAGGCUUACCAACCUCAACACAGUGAAUGAGAAAGGAAAGUUUCCCUCUCAACCAAGCCAAAAUCCAAAGGGUGUUCAUGAAGUUGAAACCCAAGAGUGGGAGUCUUCAAAGUUGAGGGAGGUCAAAGUUGUGAUCACUUUGAGGAGUGGGAAGGAGGUUGAUCAACCCUUGCCUAAGGUGAGGCAAGAUGAAGAACUCAUGUCAAAGAAAACCUUGGUUAAAGAGAGCAAUAACCAAGAAGAGAAGAGUGGGAAGAAAAGUGCAUCCAAAUCAAGCAUUGAAGAAGAGCCGAUGAUAGUGAUUAAAGAGGAUAUGAUGAAGAAACAUAUGCCUCCCCAUUUUCCUCAAGCUUUACAUGGAAAGAAGGAAAUCAAGAAUUCAUCAGAAAUUCUUGAAGUCUUGAGACAAGUGAAGGUGAAUAUACCCUUACUUGAUAUGAUCAAGCAAGUCCCCACAUAUGCGAAAUUUUUAAAGGACUUGUGCACAGUCAAGAGAGGGUUACAUGUGACAAAGAAUGCAUUCCUCACUGAGCAAGUGAGUGCUAUCAUUCAGAGUAAGUCUCCAGUUAAGUAUAAAGAUUCGGGAUGCCCCACCAUUUCAGUCAACAUUGGAGGGACACAUGUGGAGAAAGCUUUACUAGACUUAGGGGCAAGUGUGAAUUUGCUCCCAUACUCUGUGUACAAGCAACUGGGACUUGGAGGAUUGACGCCCACAGCCAUCACUCUCUCCUUAGCUGACAGGUCAGUCAAAAUCCCAAGGGGGGUGAUAAAGGAUGUUCUAGUUCAAGUGGACAAAUUCUAAUAUCCUGUGGAUUUUGUGGUGCUUGAUACCGAUCCCACUGUUAAGGAAGCAAAUUACGUGCCAAUCAUCCUUGGGAGACCUUUCCUGGCUACCUCCAAUGCCAUCAUCAAUUGUAGGAAUGGGGUGAUGCAGCUCACAUUUGGAAACAUGACCUUGGAAUUAAACAUAUUCCACCUAUGCAAGAGGCAUCUUCACCCAGAAGAGGAAGAAGGAUUGGAGGAGGUGUGCUUGAUCAACACCUUGGUUGAAGAGCAUUGUGACAAGAAUAUAGAAGAAAUCUUGAAUGAAAGCAUUGAAGUGCUUGAAGAAGGGUUACCUGAACCCUCUGAUGUGCUAGCCAUCAUCUCUCCUUGGAGGAGACGGGAAGAGAUCUUACCACUGUUCAAUAAGGAGGACUCACAUGGAGCAGCUGUGGAGGACCCUCCAAAGCUUGUUUUGAAGCCGCUUCUUGUUGAUUUGAAGUAUGCAUAUUUGAAGGAAGAUGAGAAAUGUCCAGUGGUGGUUUCUUCAACUCUCACUAGUGAUCAAGAGGAUAGUCUUUUGGGAGUCCUCAGAAAAUGCAAGAAAGCCAUUGGAUGGCAAAUUUCUGAUCUGAAAGGGAUUAGCCCUUUGGUGUGCACCCACCAUAUCUAUAUGGAGGAAGAUGCAAAACCAGUGAGGCAGCCCCAGAGGAGGUUGAAUCCUCACAUGCAAAAGGUGGUGAGGGGUGAAGUUCUGAAGCUACUUCAAGCAGGGAUCAUAUAUCCCAUUUCAGAUAGCUUGUGGGUGAGCCCCACUCAAGUAAUUCCAAAGAAAUCUGGAAUUACUGUGAUCCAGAAUGAGAAAGGGGAGGAAGUCUCUACACGUCCUACCUCAGGAUGGAGGGUGUGCAUAGACUACAGGAGGUUGAAUUCAGUGACUAGGAAGAACCAUUUCCCAUUGCCUUUCAUGGACCAAGUCCUUGAGAGAGUCUCAGGACAUCCUUUCUAUUGUUUUCUGGAUGGUUACUCGGGGUACUUCCAAAUAGAGAUUGAUUUGGAAGAUCAAGAAAAGACAACCUUCACUUGCCCCUUUGGUACUUUUGUGUAUAGGAGAAUGCCCUUUGGUUUAUGUAAUGCUCCUGCAACUUUCCAAAGAUGUAUGCUAAGCAUCUUCAAUGAUAUGGUGGAACGCAUCAUGGAAGUCUUCAUGGAUGACAUCACUGUAUAUGGAAGUUCUUAUGAGGAGUGUUUGUUGCAUUUAGAAGAUGUUCUCCAAAUAUGUAUUGAGAAAGACCUAGUGCUAAAUUGGGAGAAGUGCCAUUUUAUGGUACAACAAGGAAUUGUCUUAGGACAUAUAAUCUCCAAGAAUGGCAUUGAGGUAGAUAAGGCAAAGGUGGAGCUAAUUGUUAAGUUGCCACCUCCCACAAAUGUUAAAGGAAUUAGGCAAUUCCUAGGACAUGUCGGGUUCUAUAGGAGGUUCAUUAAGGAUUUUUCAAAAAUCUCAAAGCCUCUUUGUGAACUCUUGGUAAAGGAUGCCAAGUUUGUGUAGGAUGAGAAAUGUCAGAAGAGUUUUGAGGAACUGAAGCAAUUCCUCACAACUGCACCAAUAGUGAGAGCCCCAAAUUGGCAAUUACCUUUUGAGGUAAUGUGUAAUGCAAGUGAUCUUGCUAUGGGGGUUGUUUUGGGGCAAAGAGGAGAUGGAAAGCCCUAUGUGAUUUAUUAUGCGAGCAAAACUUUGAACGAGGCUCAAAGGAACUACACAACUACUGAGAAGGAGUUGUUGGCAGUAGUUUUUGCCUUGGAUAAGUUUCGCACCUAUUUGGUAGGGUCCUCUAUAGUGGUGUUCACUGACCAUUCCGCUUUGAAGUACUUGCUAACCAAGCAAGAUGCCAAGGCAAGAUUGAUAAGAUGGAUCAUUUUGCUCCAAGAAUUCAAUCUCCAAAUUCGGGAUAAAAAGGGAGUAGAAAAUGUGGUAGCUGACCACUUGUCAAGACUUGUGAUAGCACAUGACUCACAUGGUCUACCUAUCAAUGAUGACUUCCCUGAGGAGUCUCUCAUGUCAAUAGAGGUAGCUCCAUGGUAUUCUCACAUUGCAAAUUUUUUGGUUACUGGAGAAGUUCCAAGUGAGUGGAGUGCCCAAGACAAGAGGCAUUUCUUUGCUAAGAUCCAUGCCUAUUAUUGGGAGGAGCCUUUUCUCUUCAAAUAUUAUGCAGAUCAAAUCAUAAGGAAAUGUGUUCCUGAACAAGAGCAAUCAGGAAUUCUAUCCCAUUGUCAUGAUAGUGCAUGUGGAGGUCAUUUUGCCUCCCAGAAAACAACUAUGAAAGUGAUCCAAUCAGGUUUUUGGUGGCCCUCUCUUUUCAAGGAUGCCCACUCUAUGUGCAAGGGAUGUGAUCGGUGUCAAAGGCUUGGUAUGCUAACACGCCGAAAUAUGAUGCCCUUGAACCCCAUCUUGAUAGUGGAUGUCUUUGAUGUUUGGGGGAUAGACUUCAUGGGACCAUUUCCAAUGUCGUUUGGACAUUCCUACAUUUUGGUGGGAGUGGAUUAUGUCUCUAAGUGGGUAAAAGCAAUCCCAUGUAGGAGCAAUGAUCAUAAGGUGGUUCUUAAAUUCCUCAAGGACAACAUCUUUGCAAGAUUUGGAGUGCCUAAGGCCAUUAUCAGUGAUGGAGGAACCCACUUUUGCAAUAAGCCUUUUGAGACUCUUCUAGCCAAAUAUGAGGUUAAGCAUAAGGUAGCUACACCUUAUCACCCUCAAACAAGUGGCCAAGUUGAGUUAGCCAACCGGGAGAUCAAGAAUAUAUUGAUGAAGGUGGUGAAUGUGAAUAGGAAGGAUUGGUCUAUUAAGCUCCUGGAUUCCUUAUGGGCUUAUAGGACCGCUUACAAGACCAUUCUUGGAAUGUCUCCUUAUCACCUUGUUUAUGGCAAAGCGUGUCAUCUUCCAGUGGAGGUUGAAUAUAAAGCAUGGUGGGCAAUUAAGAAGCUCAACAUGGAUUUGACAAGAGCCGGGUUGAAGAGAUGUUUGGAUUUGAAUGAAUUGGAGGAAAUGAGGAAUGAUGCUUACCUCAAUUCAAAAAUUGCAAAAGAGAGGCUGAAGAAAUGGCAUGAUCAGUUGGUAAAUCAGAAGAAUUUUGCUAAGGGACAAAGAGUCUUGCUUUAUGACUCUAAGCUUCAUCUUUUUCCGGGAAAAUUGAAAUCAAGGUGGACGGGUCCUUUCAUAAUUCAUAAUGUGCAAUCAAAUGGAGUAGUGGAACUACUCAACUUCAAUAGCACUCGAACUUUCAAAGUGAAUGGGCAUCGUCUCAAGCCCUAUAUGGAAUCAUUUUCCCGAGACAAGGAGGAAUUCAUCCUCCUUGAUCCACCUCCAACAUGAAAACACUUGAUUCAUGGUUGAACUUAGUCUCUUCAAAGACUAAAGAGUUCAUCCUCUUUUUGUUUUCUUGUAAGUUGAUUUUAGUUUAAUCUAGUGUUUUUCUUGUGUUUUUGCAUGUUUUGAUUUUUAUUUUUGACUUUAAUGUCGUUCUAAUGUGGUUUGAAUUGGUUUUUUGUGUUAACAUGCAAGUAGGAAAGCUUGAAGAAUGAAGUCAUGGUGAAAACAAGGGAAAACAGGGGAGAAAAACCAAGACUCGGCAAUUUUCGCACAACACUUCCUGUUGUGCAAAAUUUUCGCACAACACAUCCCUUGUGCGAAUUCGUUUUUGUGACAAAAUUUCAAAACCAUGCUCUCUGUCUUGGAGAACCUCAGGAAUGCGAAAUUCACAUUUCCUCUUUAAAAGCCAUUUUCUCAUCUUCAAUUCUAAGCUUUUUCUUCUUCAUUUCUCUCAACACCUCUCUUCCGAUCACCCAUUCCCAUCCUUAAGCUCUUCUCCUUCAUCAUUCCCCAUCCUCAACACCACCAUGGCAGCCCAUCUCCAUAGCUCCACUCCAUAGCCGCGGCCUUCACUAUUCACCACAGUCCACACCUUCAAUUUUCAGCUCUUUCUCCUCUUUCCACCAUCAAAAACCCUUCAAUUCUUCACUCAACACUCUAAAUUCAUCCCUAAACCAAUCCCAACCUUGAUUUUACCAAACCAAAACCUCAAGCUAAGGAUUCAAGCCACGGUUUCUUCAUAAGAAACCCAUUGCCCCCGAGUAGAGGAGCCUCCAAAUUCCAAAUUCUCUUCUUGAAAAGCUCCAAUUUCCAAGCCUAGCCACCAUGAAAAAUCCUUUUCCUACCUUAGCCAGUAUUUCCCACCCUCAAAAGCCAAAAAAUUUCACCAUUUGAACGAGCCUCAAUUUUGCAAAAGGGCGGGUGAAUAGUGUCUUGUGCAAAAAAUUCGCACAACACCCCCUCUUGUGCGAAAUUUUUGCACAACACCCCCCUUGUGCGAAUUUUUCAGUUUCUCCAUCCCUACCCUCCCCAAUCCCAAGCCUCUGAGCCUCAUUUUAUCGCUUCUUCAUGCCUAAGACCCGAGGAGGAUAUACCUCAGCUCCCAGAGCAGUCAGAGAGCUACCCCUGUGCGGGCCCCACUAGAUGCACCUCCACAUUUACCUGAUUCUGCCCCUCAGAGCAGAUACCAUACGAGGAGAGCAUCUGCCACGCCUGUAGCCCCUACUCAAAUUUCACCUCAAAGUCCUCAUACAAAGAAAGCCAAGACUUCAGAGCCAGGAGAGUCAUCCAGAGCAUCUCGGGAUUCACAGUCUCAGCCUCCUUCCACCAGGCGCUCUAGAGCCAGCUCGCCCAUUGAGGGCAACUCCGAUUGCCGAUCCAGAGCAUUUCAUGUCGAGGCAUGUUUUGAUCACUCUAUUUUGGGAUAACAGCCCGAGUUGCAGGAUUCAUACAGCCUACUUGAGAGGUACCAUCUUGUACCCUUUAUGACUCCGCCCUAGUUCUUUUAUCCUCGAGUAGCUUUAGACUUUUACCAGUCUAUGACUACUCGUGGCGUCCCGGUACCAGCCUCGAUACUUUUUACCAUUGAUGGACGCCAGGGUAUUUUGGGGGCUAGACAGAUUGCCGAUGCUUUCCAUAUCCCUUAUGCACUAGCAGAUCCUACUGCAUUUAGACGUUGGGCCCCAUUUUCUGAGUGGGACAUGGUUCGUAUCCUAUCUCGAGGGACAUCUUCCCAGAUGACCAUUUUGAGGAGGGAGCUUCCCCCUGGGAUGCUCCUAGUUGAUGUGGUUCUUCGCGCCAAUCUUUUUCCUCUUCAGCAUAGAGUACAGAGGCGAGGGGCUAUUCUAGAGGCAUUAUUCCGUAUCUCUGAGGGCUACUACUUUGGCCCCCAUCAUUUGAUUAUGGCCGCUCUCCUCCAUUUUGAGGAGAAGGUGCAUACGCGGCGUCUUGCGAGGGCAGACACUAUUCAUUUACUUUUCCCUCGGCUGCUAUGCCAUGUUCUGGCGCAUAUGGGUUUUCCUGUAGACCCUCAUUCUAAGCCCCGCCGCCAUUGUCGAGAGAGUUUCUCUCUUGACCAAUGGAAUCAGGUAUGGCUCCAUCAGCAUUCCCCAGAACUUCCCGAGCCAAGGGAAGUCCCUCCUACUCCGUCCACUUCAGCUCCCUCGGAGCCUGUACUAGAGGCAGCAUCGUCUGACGCUCCACCUGCUAUUCCUCCUACCUUAGAGUCGCCCAUUACUAUCCCUGGUGCAGAGUACUGUGCCUUGCUCGCCUCUUUCCAGACUCUGACCACUACUCAGACGGCCAUAUUGGAGCGGAUGGACCACUUCCAGCGUCAACAGGACCAGCAGACUCUCAUUCUCCGUGAGAUUCAGCAGCACCUCGGUCUUUUUCCACCAGCUCCACCUGUAGCGGUGCCUUCCUCAGUUCCAGCAGAGGACCCCUCCUAUCCACCAGAGGAGCCUACUACUUGAUCAUAUGAUCAUUCCUCUCCUUUUUUGUAUCUAUAUUCUCCGUUUUUGGAUGUCUUAUAUAUUUUGGACUACUUUUAUACUGGGAUUGGAUGUAUUCCAUGUUUCUCUUGUAUAUUGUACUCUCUCAGUUUAUAUGGACAUCUUCCUUUUUGUGUAUUUUAGCUAUUCCUUUUUAUUUCCUCUAAUCAUCACUCUUAUGAUUUUUCUUUUCUUAUGCAACAUGUGGUUUCUCAUGUUCAUUCAGAGUCCUUACUAUCAAGAGGUAUCACUUCCUCUCUUUUAUUAUCACUAGCUUUUGGAACAUUGGGGACAAUGUUCAUCCUAGUGGGGGGGGAGAGUUGAGGAAGUAAUUUGUUGAAUUUUUGGUUAAGUUAUUUUGCCAACAAAAUUUUUUUGCAAACUCUCUUGAUUUCUCAAAGAUAAUUUCUCAAAAGUAAAUGGGAGAAAUUAAAUUCUUAUCUUAUUGCCAUAGUCUUAGAGUUUGUAUUAUGCUUAUUAAAGUUGAUAAAUUGUUGAAGCUCCUUUUGAUUUCAAUCUUAAGUCUUCCACUCUAAUCUUUUCACACACUGAACACAUUAGAUUUCAGUUAUAAGAUGGAAAACUUUCUCACCCCCUAAACUUAGGAAAUUUUCGACUUGGUACCAUUGACCUCAUUCUAUUAGUGUUGGGACACCUUAUAAAAGGCCAAUGUGUCUUAUAAAAAUUUUUUUUGCUUCACUUGCUUUGAAACCCAAGCAAGGUCCGAGGGGUAUAGGGUGAAAAUCUUUAAAACCUGGUGUCCUAAGCCUUUACUGGUUGGGAGUCACCGACCUCACUGCUCGUUACAUGGGUGGAUAGGUGGAGUAUAUACAUCUUAAAAAAAAAAAAAAAGAGGUGCAUUCUUAGCCUUCUAUAUAUGAGUUAGUGUUGCUAAAGUUAGAGAAAAACCUUAGUUGGGGGGAGAAUAUAGUUUGACAUACUAUAACUGGAAACUAAGCAUCUUAACACUAAGAUUUUUGUGGAAGAUUAAGAGUUGACCCUUUGGGAGUGGAAAUUAUUUUGAUACUCAAAUUUGCAUAAUGCCCGCUCUUUGCAUGUUGUGAUAGGUAAGUUAUUUGAUGACUCUUGUUGAUGAUUGAGUUUUAUAUUCUUGACUUGCCAUGUGAGAGUUUGAUCCAAUCAUGCCACUUGAUUAUUUUUUGGAGUGAUCAGCAUGAUUUUGUAAAUUAUUAUAUUAUCUAUUUAUUUUUCUUUCUUUUUCUCUCCUUCAUUGCUCAGGGACUAGCAAUGUGCCAAUUGGGGGGAGUGAUUACUACCCAAAAAGUGCUAUUUUACACCUUUAAUUCAUUAUGUUUUAAGCACUUUUGUGUAGUAGUUCUCCAUCUUUAUUCCAAUUGGCAUGUUAAGGACCUAGCAAUGACUUCUAAUCAUAUUUGUGGCUAGUUUUAGUGUUUUGACAGCUUUUUGGAUCAUUAAAACAAGCCAAGUAAAGGAGAGAAGCAAAGAGGAAAAACAAGCAAAGAGAAAAUGAAGAAAACAGAUGACAGCAGCUGCAGUCUUCCUUCGCACUUUUGGAGCACUUUCUGAAGUCAAUUUUCUAUAUACUAUAUACCAUUUCAAAGCUCAAGAAGUCAAGAAUCCAACGCUUUAAACCGUGUACAAUUUGGAGCUGAAAUGAGGAAGAUAUGGCCUUCAGAAGACAACUGCUCCAGGCUUGUGCGAAAUUCACACAACACCUUGAAAUUCGCACAACACCUUCAGCUUGUGCGAAGCUUGUGCGAAAUUCGCACAACACCUUCCAAAUUCGCACAGCCCAUGCGUGGUGUGAAUUUUCCUCUAUUUUUUCCGACUCCACUUUAGAUCUUUUCCUAUGUAUUUUUUGAUGUAAUUUCCUUUCUUAUCCCUGUAACUAACCAAUCACAAGCUUUUGCUUUUGUAAAGACUAUAUAAGGGGUGGAAAUCACCUCUUGGAACUAACGAACAUGUGUUACGCUUUACACUUAGUGAAAUACAGAGCUCUCUCGUUUUUCCUUUUCUCUCUACUAUUUUCUUUUUCUUGGAAGCCAAACAACCUCUGAGGAUGUUUUCCCAGAGGAUGAGAGGCUAAAAUUUUGGUUUCUUGGAGUGAAGGAAGCUAGGUGAAAAGUCCAAAUGCAAAGGUGGAAAACUCUCGUGCAUUAAAUACAGGUAGUUGGAGUUCAUAAAUGGCUUCUAAAUCCAAAGUUUUGCUUUAAAUCCCUUAGAAUCACUUUGAAUGGCCAAUACAUGGUAAGCUUCAGGUCUCUGUGGAUGCUUAUUGCUAGAUCCAUAUCAGUCCAUUAGUUAUCAUGUACGAGCCAUUGGAAAGUGACUCAAGGUGAAGACCCAUAGUGUCUAAAGCCAUUAAUGGACCUUGACUACCAUUUCUAUUGACUUUUUAUGGAUUAAAUCUUCAUUGUUAAACCUAUACCGGUUCGGGAAAUAACUAUAGGUUAAAUCCCCAAUGCGAGGAGAAAAAUCCGGAAUUUUCCACUUUGUAUUCUGAACUUGAUCCUAGCAACCCUUAGCUCCGGGAGACUUUCUUUCUUCCAUUUUUACUUAGUUUUAUGUUAGUUUAGUUUCAAACACCUUUCAAAACAAAUUUCAUUUUCUUUUAAACUUUAAGUUUUUGAUAAAGGAAAUCAUUAAAUUCAAUUUCUAAUCUCGAGUAUAUCACUGGUAGAAUGAAAACACAUCCCAGAGUUCGACCCUAGAGCCACUAUGCUAUAGUAGCUUUGCUACGCUAGUAUGAGGUCAUAGGUUUUAUAAAUGUUUUUGAUUAAAUGACCCGACUGGAGUUUCAUGCGAAUCAUUGUUUAUGAUAGUGAUGUUGUUAAUUUUGCUUGCAAGGAGACUAGUUGGGUGAUUGAUAGCGGUGCCUCAAUCCAUGCUACACCUCGAAAAGACUUCUUUACAUCCUACACAUCUGGUGAUUUUGGAAGUGUUAGGAUGGGUAAUGAUGGCUCAGCUAAAGCCAUUAGUAUGGGAUAUGUGCGUUUGGAGACUAGUAAUGGUACUAUGUUGAUUUUGAAGAAUGUCAAACACAUUCCAGAUAUCCGCAUGAAUUUAAUCUCCACAGGUAAGCUUGAUGAUGAAGGGUUCUGCAACACCUUUCGUGACAGUUAGUGGAAGCUCACCAGAGGUUCUAUGGUGAUAGGAAAAGGAAAGAAGUGUUCCUCAUUGUAUUUGAUGCAAGCAAGGGUAAUUGAUUCCAGUAUCAAUGUAGUGGAUUAUGAUAGCACGGUUGAGCUUUGGCACAAAAGACUUGGUAAUAUGAGUGAGAAGGGCUUGAUGCUUUUGGCUAAGAGAAAUCUUCUUUCUAGUUUGAAGAAGAGAUCUUUGAAGUGUGCUCAUUGCUUAGCAGGAAAGCAGACCAGAGUUGCAUUCAAAACACACCGUCAUACAAGGAAGCUAAGUAUGCUUAAUUUAAUGUAUUCUGAUGUGUGUGGUCCUAUGAAAACAAAAACACUUGGUAAAUCUCUAUAUUUUGUGACUUUUAUAGAUGAUCAUUCAAGAAAGAUUUGGGUGUAUACCUUAAAAACAAAAGACCAAGUGUUAGAGGUGUUUAAGCAGUUUCAUGCUCUUGUUGAGAGACAAUCUGGCAAAAAAUUGAAAUGCAUUCAAACUGAUAAUGGGGGUGAGUAUUCUGGUCCUUUUGAUGAGUAUUGUAGACAACAUGGUAUUCGACAUCAAAAGACACCUCCUAAGACUCCUCAGUUGAAUGGGUUGGUUGAGAGAAUGAAUAGGACACUAGUUGAAAGGGUGAGAUGUUUACUUUCGCAGUCACAGUUGCCAAGAUCCUUUUAGGGUGAGGCUUUGAAUACUAUUGUACAUGCUCUCAAUCUUACACCAUGUGUUCCUUUAGAAUUUGAUGUUCUGGAUAGAAUUUGGUCAGAUAAGGAAAUCUCUUAUGAUCACUUGUGUGUCUUUGGAUGCAAGGCUUUUGUGCAUAUUCCGAAAAAUGAGAGGUCUAAGCUUAAUGCUAAGACAAGACCUUGUGUAUUCAUUGGCUAUGGUUAGGAUGAGCUUGGUUACAGGUUUUAUGAUCCGGUGCAGAAAAAACUUGUAAAAAGUCGAGAUGCUAUGUUCAUGGAAGAUCACCAUACGAGACAUUGAGAAGACUGCUACAACAGAGUUUCAUAGUGAUAAUCUGAUUGACUUAGUUCCAGUUCCUUUGACACAUCUUCCUACACAGGUUGAAGAUGAAGCACAUGAUGACCAACAUGACAUUGGUGAUGUUGAAAUUCCCACACAGGUUGAGAUGGAUGAUGAUGUUCAUGAGCAGUCACCUAUAGCAGAGGUUCCACCAAAUAUUCCACUUAGGAGGUCUACUAGAGACCGACAUCCUUCUACACGGUUUUCUAUUGAUGAUUAUGUAUUACUAACUGACGGGAAGGAACCUGAAAGUUUUGAGGAAGCCAUAGGAGAUGAAAAUAAGAUGAAGUGGGUUGAUGCUAUGCAAGAUAAGAUGAAGUCAUUGCAUGAGAAUCAUUCUUUUGAGUUUGUCAAGUUGCCAAAGGGAAAAAUAGCUUUGAAGAACAGGUGGGUUUACAGAGUGAAGCAAGAAGAACACACUUCACAGCCACGUUACAAAGCUAGAUUGGUUGUCAAAGGGUUCAGUCAAAAGAAAGGUGUUGAUUUUGAUGAGAUUUUUUCUCCUGUUGUUAAGAUAUCGUCUAUUCGUGAAGUUUUGGGCUUGGCAACUAGUCUUGAUUUGGAGAUUGAGCAAAUGGAUGUUAAGACUACAUUUCUCCAUGGUGAUUUAGACAAAGAAAUUUAUAUGGAAUAGUCAAAGGGUUUCACAGUAAAAGAAAAAGAAGAUUCUGUGUGUAAGUUGAAGAAAAGUCUUUAUGGCUUGAAGCAGGCACCGAGGCAGUGGUAUAAGAAGUUUGAAUCAGUUAUGGGGGAGCAAGGCUACCGAAAAACUACUUUUGACCAUUGUGUAUUUGUGCAGAAAUUCUCUGAUGAUGAUUUUGUUAUAUUGUUACUCUAUGUUGAUGAUAUCUUGAUUGUUGACAUAAAUGUUUCAAGAAUGGAUAAGCUGAAGAAGCAAUUAAGCAAAUCCUUUUCCAUGAAGGAUUUGGGGUCAGCAAAGAAAAUUCUUGGUAUUAGAAUUAAGAAAGAUAGAGCAUCCAAGAAGCUGCAUAUGUCACAGGAGCAAAAUAUUGAAAAGGUACUUAAAAGAUUUAACAUGAGCAAAACUAAAGUGGUUAGUUCUCCUCUAGCUAGUCACCUUAAGCUAAGCAGCAGACAUAGCCCUUCUAUAAAUAAGGAGAAGGAAGACGUGAGAAGAGUUACGUAUGCCUCAAUAGUAGGAAGUUUGAUGUAUGUCAUGGUAUGUACUAGACCAGACAUAGCUUAUGUAGUUGAUGUUGUUAGCCACAUUCUAUCUAAUCCAGGAAGACUACAUUGGGAGGCAGUCAAGUGGAUUAUGAGAUAUUUGCAAUGCACUUCCAAGUUGAAACUCACUUUUAGAAGUGGGAAACCAGUACUUGUUGGCUACACUGAUUCAAACAUGGCAGGGGAUGUAGAUAAUAGAAGGUCCACUUCAGGCUAUUUGAUGACAUUCUCAGGAGGUGUUGUGUCUUGGUAAUCAAGACUACAGAAAUAUGUUGCACUUUCUACAAUAGAGGCGGAGUACAUUGCAGCAGCAGAAGCAUGUAAAGAGUUGUUGUGGAUGAAGCGUUUCAUACAUGAGCUCGGGUUUAAGCAGUAGCGCUAUGUGGUAUAUUGUGAUAGCCAGAGCGCCAUUCACCUUAGUAAGAAUUCUACCUUUCCUGCAAGAUCGAAGUACAUUGAUGUGAGGUAUCAUUGGAUGAGAGAUGCUCUCAAUGACAACUUGUUUGAAUUUGAGAAGAUACAUACCAAUCACAAUGGCUCAGAUAUGUUAACAAAGUCCUUACCAAGGGAGAAGCUUGAAGUUUGUUGUUCAAUCGCCGGGAUGGCGAGCCCUUCCACAUAAUCGGAAAUAGGGAGAUUUGUUGGGUUUUUCCUCAUGUGGAAGGCUCAAAUUAAGAGCCCAAAACUAAAGGCCUCUUAGGCCUUUAUAUAAAAGGGUUAGAAGAAGAAUCCCUCUUCUUCUACUUCUUCUUCUUCCAAUUUUUUUUGCAGCCACUAGAAGUAGACGAAAAAGAGAGUAAAAGGAGAAAAAAAAAAAGAGAAGGGGAUAACCACCCUUUUUGAAGUUAGAAAGAAAAACUCAGUUUUUCUUCAUUGUCCAGAUUUCAUCAAAGUUCCGAUCCGACUUCGUCUGUGGUCCAAUCAACCUGAAAUUUGGAGAAGAGGUUUGUGACUCAUUGAUCUUCAAUCUGAACGGUGAAGAUCGGAUUUGAAGUUCCAGACAAUCAUUUUUUAGUCCGAGAAUAGAGCCUCUAUUUUGGUGAGUUUUCUAUCCGGACAGUUUUGAUCAUGAGCUCCGAUCAAGGUUAAUAUGUGGUUCGAUUAAGCUAAGUUUUGGUGAGCACGUUCAAAACUCAUUGAUAUUCAUUCUAAAUGGUGGAGGUUGUAUUUGGAGUUCAGAACAGUUAAAUUUUAGUCUGAGAACAGUGGUUGUGAUUGGUAAGAUUUCUCCAUUGUCUUUAUGCAAAGUUGUUGAAAUUGCCAAGAUUAAUUUGUUUUGAGAUAUGGUUUAUGUAUGCCUCUAGUUUUAUCUAGAGAGAAUUGUGUAACCCAUUGAUUAUAUUAGUGGUUUUUUUAAGUGGCCUAAGGGUCCCGUGGUUUUUACUUCUCACAUUGGAGAAGGUUUUCCAUGCUAAAAAUUGUUGGUGUUCAUAUACUUGUUGAUUGGGUGAAUUCUUGUUGCUCUAUUUGAUUGAUUCCUAUUAGUUUCUCACAAGAGGGGAUAAAAUCUGGUUGUGCAUUGUUUGUGUUUAUCCCAUCAAGCCAUGGCCAUGUUUCAGUGAAACACAAUGACCAGAAGGGAGAUUUUCUAUUUUCCAAACUGCGGGUGAAGUUGUGUAUAUUGUAUUUGUGGGUCAUGUUUCUUGUAUUUUAAUACAUCUUUCGCACAUCACUGGUUUAGACCAUGUGAAGAUUGUCUUGUCCUGUUAAUUUAUUUUGCAUAAUUUUUUAAUUCAUUUGGAGAAUAUGAUUUUAUUUGGAAGAAAGACUAUUAUGAAUUUGCUUAAGAAUUACGGGUCUUCUAUGAUACUAUCUAUAUUUUUUUAAUCAACUUUCCGUACUUCAUUUGGAUACCUACUAAAUUUAUAGAAGAGUGAAUUGAAGAGGGAAUAAAAGCUUUUCAAUUUCAAUUGGAUUCUCCUUGAAGAUUUUGAAUGAGUCUUCCCAAAAGGUUCAAAAGUCCCCUAAUUAAAUGGCUUUAAUUGAGAGGCUUAAUUACAAGAAGAUGAAAUCACAUCUCACGCAUCCUUUGAUACUUGAUGGUAAUAGAUCAUUUGUGUGUAUUAAUUGAAACAUGUAGACAUACAAAUGAAAUAGCUAGAUUGUUGCAAAAAAGUACGACUAUAAGACCAGGGUGGAUCCAAAGAAGAAUUUCUUUAUUACCACUAGACAAUAAAUGUUUUUUGUUCAACUUUUGUCCCCCCUUAAAUAAAGAGUUACAUGUUGCUCCCCCGGGCCAUUUGCAACUUUUGUCCCCCCUAAAUAAAGAGUUACAUGUUGCCCCACUCAAGCUAUUUGCUGGCUCUGCCACUGAUCAUUUAGGGUCUUAUGAUUAAUGAAGUGCAUUCAUACAAUACCUCUCUUAUUAUAAAUGUAAGAUUUUGCAAAAUACAAAUAACCAGCCAAUCCUAAUAGACCGAGCCCAACAAGAAGCCAAUAAAAGUAAUCAAGAUGUGCUUUAUUGAGGUUAUCAUUGAACCAGCUAUCAUGGCCAUCUCCACCAGUUACUUUAUCAGUGGCAGAGAUGAGAAAGCUGCUCAGGAAGCUCCCUAACCCAAAAAUACUGAGGUUGAGGGCAAUACCAACACUCCUUAAUUCAUUUGGGGCCUGAUCAUAGAAAAAUUCUUGAAAACCUACCAUGGCUAACGCAUCCCCAACUCCAGACAAUACAUAUUGAGGAACCAACCACCACACGCUCAUUGGAAUGGUCACAUUUGGUGUAUCAACCAGGCCGUGUUCUUCAGCUUUCUUGAGCCGUUUCACCUCUAUUAAUGCUGCAAUUACCAUUGAAAUGAUGUAUAAAAACAUCCCCGUUCCAAUUCUCUGAAGCAUUGAUAAGCCAGAAGGUUUCCUGGUUAAAUGUCUUGCAAUAGGAACCAAAAUGCGGUCAUAUAUGGGAAUGAAGAUGACAAUGGUGGUGGUAUUCAAGGAUUGAAGUGAAGCAGCCGGUAUGUCAAAACCCAAGCCAGUUGAUCUAUCCAUAGUAAUUCCUUGCUUGGUAAAGAAAGUGGAUAAUUGUGCUGGCAAGAUACCAAACACCAAACUAGUAAUCCAUAUGGGAAACAGCUUUAGAACUGCCUUCGCUUCUUCAACGUCACUGAAGCUACAUGCCUUUCCAUCCUCCUUCGAACAGUCUAGUGUAAGCAAGGCCUUGCUGAGAAACCUGUCACAACUGAAAGAGAGCCAAGUGAUCGAAAUGUUACAGUAGAAGUACACAUACUAAAAUAAUUAUCUGAAUUCAGACCAUUUUUACUUAGUCUAAAGUCUUGAAAAUUAGAAAGAAAUUCAUACAAGACCCUCAUUUACAAAAUUCAUUGCUGUGAAAUAUGCGCUUCCCCCCCUCCCCCUUUUUUUUAUGGAAAAAAAAUUGAAAUACGCCAAACCUAAUAAUCAUACUUGAACUGAUGGGAACCAUGGUGAGGCAGGGUCUCUCCAGCAACCUCCUCUGCAGUUUUCAGUGAUGGCAUGGUUCUCCAAUUCCUAGUUGCUUCAACAAACACCUUGCCAAUUCUCACAAAUGGGUUUUCCUCAUUGGUGUUGAUACUAUAACGGUAAGUCUUAGUUCCAAGCAAGAAAAGGAGCAGCGCUGCCACCAUGACAAUGCAGGGGAUUCCAAAUCCAAGAACCCAGUUAAGAUUUUCUUGAAUGUAGCUCAAGAUCAAGAAAGCUACUGAAAUACCACUGCAUAGAGCAAAAUACCACCAGUUGAAGAACGAGCUCUUAGCUUUGCACUCCUCUGGAUGUUGUCCAUCAAAUUGGUCAGCUCCAAAAGCCUGAGUGCAAGGCUUGUGCCCACUUUGGCCAAUUGUUACUAGAUAUAGAGAGAAAAAGAAUAAGACUACUUGGAACUGGGGAGGAUUGUCAAUGUUUUGGCAGAAGGAAGGGAUCAGAGAAGGAAGCAUAGCCGACAGGGUUAACAAGCCUAGUCCCUGCAAUAUGUAGUAGUUCAAGUCAAUGAUAGUAAUUAUUCAAUUACAGCAGAAGAGUUUUCUUGAGAGCCUUUAAGAUUUUUAGUGUUUACAUUAGUCCUUUAAAUGGUGUUCUUCCUAUUAUUACCAAUUUUCUUUGUAAGACUAUAAAUAGAUAUUUAGAGGAGAGAGUUUAGAAUCUGAUGGUGGUGAUUCUUCCGUUAGAAAGUUUAACAGCGCUAGCUAUACUGGGGCAGAUAACUGGAAGUUGAAACAUGUCAAAACACAAAUCAUGUUGUUCAUAGAAAAUAACCUGACUUUAUUGAUUGCUAAUUUCAAUAAUGUAAGAGGCUACAAUCAGGGGUGUAAUAGGGCCAGGUUACGCCAGACUUGGGCUUUCAAGGCUUGGGUUGGAGCCAACUCUUUCGUGGCCCUAAUUUAGUUGAUCUGGAACUAAUUCCCAACUAAUCCUAGUUCUAGCCUGAGCUUAGCUCAAUACUAGGGAACCGGAUUAUCUGGGAAAUGACAACAUCCAAACCUAGUAGAAGAAUAGAGAAAAAGAGAGAAGACAAAAGAUUUACAUGGUUCAAUGUAAUUACUUACAUCCACAAGAAUGGAAGAUCAAAUUCUCUAAUAAACUUAAGAAUUCUUUCUCAAACUCUUUACCUAUAACCUAAUACACUACGUCUAUUCCUGUUCACUCUUCUCACUAUUCUAACACUUCGACAACUCACUUUUUUUUACUUUCACUAUAAAUCUUAUAUAACGCUACAUAUUUAUGAAGCAUUAUGGGCUAACAUUAAAUAGUGAGUUUCCAAAUCUUAAUCAAAUUAAAAAAUAGUAAUUUAGCGAACCUAAUAAAAAUAAAAAUAAAUCAUUUGAAUCAAAAUUGCUCUAACAAUCUCUACCUUAGCUCAAAUUCUACUACUCCAUAUUUGGUCUAUCUUCUUAAUACCCACCUUUGCACCCUUUAUGUGUAGGUUGCCACCAUUGCACUAUCAAUGAGAGUAAGUAUGUGUCAAGUUCAAAUUCUCAUUAAACUUUAUUUAAGAAAUGAUUUUUGUUUUUUCCAUAACUUCAUUCCUUAAAUUGGUUUCAUCCUUAUCCUAAUAAGUACUCUUAGCUGAUAACAGAGUCUUGAUCAUCUUGCAUUUAUCCUUUUGUCUAAAUUAUUUUUGUUUUUUAGUAACUUCAUUCCUUUUGCAACUAGCCUCAUCCUUAUCCUAGUUAUCAUCCUUAGCUGAAAGAGGAGUCUUAAUCAUCUUAUUUUUAUUCUUUUCAUCUAAUAUGAACAUCUUGUCGUGAUCUUUUAUCCUGACAACUUCUUCAACACUAUUAUAAGACUCUUCAUGGUGUGGCUCCACCAUUAUAACUUCACCUAAAGCUAUCUUCCCAAUUAAGUUGUAUAAAAUUUUUAUCUUAUCCCUUCAUAGUUACCAAAGAAUCUUUAUUAAUAUUCAUAAUAUUAUUCUUUGUAGAAAAAUCAUAACCCAAAGUAUUUAGAGACCCUAAAAAAAUCAAACUCCUCAAUUCUGGAACAUGCUUAACAUCAGACAAUGUCCUCACAAUACCAUCAAACAUCAUCACCUUCACAGUACCCAUUUUAAUGGCUUUAGAGCUAGAACAUUACCCAUUAGAACAAUACUAACAUGACAUUCCUUCUAGGCGCCAAAACAAUUCUUAUAUUGGCACAUGAGAAUUUAUAAUCUAAAAUCCAAGAAUCACACAAUUUUCACCAACCAUAGUUAAAAAUUAAUAUAUAUAUAUAUAUAUAUAUAUAUAUAUAUAUAUAUAUAUAUAUAGAUAUAUAUAUAUCAUCAUCAUCAUUAUUAAAGUUUUCAUCAAUGACAUAAGUAGAACCUAAAAUCUCAUAGACUCAUCAUCAUUAGACUCAGGGAUUUAGAAGUUUUUCAAAUCUUUCAAAAUUUGAACAUUAAGUUCAAAGAUAUGAAGAACAACUUUAAAGAAUCUAAGAUUAAACUCGAAGAUCUAAAAAUUGAGUUUGAAAAUUUGUAGAUCAAGUUGCAAGAUUUAAAAACAAGUGCAAAGAUUCAAAGAUGAAUUUUGAAGAUUUGAAGAUUAAGUUUAAGACAUCUUCAAUCCAAAAUUUAGCAUUGAUGUUCUCAGUGAGCAUGAGUCAAGUCAAUGAAUCCAAGCUUAACAUGCCUAUGUACAAGCCUAGCUUAAGAUAUGCUAAGGUCCAAACCUAGACUCAAGACAUGCCAAAGUGUUAGGAUAGAGCCCUAGAAAGCAUGAAAUGAUGUAACAUAGUUUAGAUUCAUUAAUAAAUGUAUCUAUUUAUGAUUUUAGUUAUCUUUAUUAUCUCUUUUUGCAUUAAUUAAUCUUUAUUUGAGCAUUCAUGUUUAUAUCACUUGCAUUGUAUAUGACUUCAAUCCAUUAGGAGUUAUAUAGAAGAUCCAAGUCAUGGAUUCUAUUUAAGGUGAUAAGUGGUUUACAAUCAGUUUAGGGCAAUCCAACAAAGAUUGUAGUGUAGUACCUCAUAAUUGGAGGUACUACACUACAAGAUGAUUUCCCAUGAUAAGUAUACUAAUGUGUAUGGUUACAUAUUGGACAAAACUUAUGGUGAAUCAUGACAUUAGCUAUUGAGUCUGUACUGAAAUCAACAGAACAUUUUGACCUAUAAGUGAGACCUUAAGGCGGUCAUAUAUUCACUAUGGAUUGGGUCAUUAUUGAUGGAAGUUGGUGGCAAUAGGUAUUGUCAAUGAAGACACCAUGAUAUUUUAUAUGAUUGAGAUAGUGUGUUAUCUUGGAUGAUUAUAAGACAUGUAAUCAAGAAAACUAUGACUAUAGUAAUUUUUUAGAGAAAUUUAACUUAUACUCUUUGUGAGUUAGAGUAUGUUAGUUGAUCACAUGAUAGAAUGAUAUGUAAAUUAAGGAUUGGAAAGGUAAUUUUAAGAGGUUAAUAACAUUAUUUGGUUAAAUUACAAACAUCAAUUCAUAGGUGGUCUACAUAUAAUGGAUAGUAGGUCAUAGAUCCCACAUUGCAUCAUUGUAGUAUCAAAUGAUACUAGAUUAAAGUUGACUCUUUUUAGUGAAGUGUUGAAUCAAUUUCAAGAUUAGAUUAUAAGGAAGUUUAUGUUUUCUUAAGAUUAUAUUAUAAUGGAGUUUGUGUUUUCUUAUGGGUCCUAGUAAUCCUCACUUGAACUACAAAUUCAUGGUGGCAUGUUUGUAUGAGGGAUUUUGGAUUUAUAGUUCAUAAGUGUGUAUAAGAGCAUUUUGGUAAAAAUAACAUGUUACAAUAAAUCUUAUGAAUGACCUUUCUAAAUUUGGCUAAUUAAUUAAUUGGAGCUAAAUAAGGUUCACUAAUUACUUAUGACCCAAGUGAACUGGAUUAAGUGACCUAAGCGUAAGUUGGACCCAAGUCACUUAAGCCUAUAGGGAAGCCUAUAUAAAUCUCUUUAGGGGUUUAGGGUGAUUUAGACAAAAGUUAGGAUAUGCUCACAAGACCUAAAAAACAAUAAAAAAUUAAAAUAAGAAAUUAAAAAUUUUGAAAAAUGUUAGUUGAAAAAAAUUAAAAUUAAAAUAAAGAACAAAGAAAAUUUUCUUUGAAAUACGUUAUGACUUAAUCCUUAUUGGGUACAUAGGCAAUAUGGAAAAUAUUGCAAAUUCAGUCAAUGUUUCAAAUAAAAUAAGGUUCUAAUACCACUUAAGUUCUAUUCGUGAACUCUAUUGAUGAAAAAAAAAUCUAAAAAUUGUUCACUUUCUACAUGGAACUUGUGCCCUUGAAUAACAUUUUAAAGGGGCAUUUGUAGAAGGACAAAAUUUAACCUUUUACAAUUUAUCAUAUGCCCUAGGGUUUGGUGUCCAUUGGACCUUCCUCUAUUAACAAAAGUGACAAGAACCACCUUUGAGGCAAUUAAUGCCCCUUUAGUUUGUUGAUAUGUGAUGCUCAUUUCACUCCAAAUUUGGAAUUAUGAAAUUGCCCAAGUUACUUUAAAUUAACUUAUAAAUUAAUCUUGUUAAUUAACCUCAAAUUAAACCCUGAAUUGAUCCUAAUUAAUCGCAUAUUAAUAAUCCCCUUCACUAAUUACUAUAACCUAUAAUAUCAACUAUUAUAACCCGUUGAUUAGGGUCGAAUAUGUCAAUAAUUAUAACUCAUUGACUAGGGUCAUAGAAACCAAAGUCAAAACACUUUAUUUUAUUAAUUCAAACUUGCAAAACAAAAUAUCAUAUCUUCAAAAAUUUUCAUUUUCAUAAACAAUGAAAAUUCUCAAAUAUACUUUCCAUACAAAACACAUAUUUGAUUCAUGCAAAAAGAUAAAAAUAAUAUUAUUACACAUUUCAAAAUACAAUAUAAAAAUGAAACUAUUUUCUUUUAUAAAAAUCUGCAUUAAUUUUCCCUUACCUUGAAGAAGCGCUCAAAAACUUAAAGUAUUUAGCUUGACGAAUUUACUCCUCACCUAACAUAAUAUCAUACACAAUAUUGAUUAUUGAUUAUUUAUCUAAAUAUAUACAUUUGACAAUCUUAAAAAUAUUUUAUUUAGUAUUAGAGAUCCUAAUUAAUUUCUCAUAUUAAUAUUAUUAUCAUUCAAUAUUAUUUUCAACUUCCUAAAUAAUAAUUUAUUUCUUUUUUUCUAACUUAUCUAAAUUAAAUCUUUUAAGAAUAUUUAUUUGUAUUAAACUAUUAUUACUAUUAUUUAAAUCUCCUACUAAAACUUAACAAAUACCCCAUGCAAUUCUUUUUUCUUUUCUUUUUUUCAACAUUCCAAAUCCUUCCUACGCAUCUUUCAACAUUUUUUUUUUUUUUUUUUUUCUCUAAAGUCAAAACUUUUAACCUCCAUACUCACAAAUUUUAUGUAAUUUUCACAUCCGAAACUAUAUAAUUUUUUUUUAUCUAGAUCUAUUCAUUUGAGUAAUCAAAAGUUAUCGAUCUCCAUUAAUAAAUCAAACUAUGUUAAUAAAUUUUUAAUCUUUUUGACCUAAAAAUUAAUUAAACGAACUCUAAUCAAAAUUGAGAUAUUCCAAAAAAUAUCUAAUGUGUUCAAAACUAAUUAACGAAUAUAAAAUAUUAACUAGGGUUAGAAUCUUACUUGAAAAAAUAUGAACUUCAAACUCUAGACCUCCAAACCUUUAGCCUUAUGUUCUCCAAUUCUUUAAUUUUUGGUUAAUAAAGUUUUCUAAAUAAGGAAGAUAAGAGGAAAAUCUAAUUUAUACUUAGAAUUUUUAAUUGUAAAAUGACUAUUUUACCUUUAAUGAAUUUAAUUAAUUAAUUCAUUAAUUUACUAUUUUACCCCUAAAGUUUAUUUUGGGUGUUACAUGACUAAUUACUAUAACCUAGAGUCUAAACUAAUCCAUAAGAAGCAGCCACAAAAUGGUCCCUUCUAUAUCAUAUUCAUUUAUUCAAAAUACUAAUAGCCGAGUCCCUACCUUCCUUUCAACUAUACUCUCUCUCUCUUCUUUUUUUUCUUUUUUUUCUGUUUACUACAAUAAUAAGGAUUGGACAAGAAAAAAAAAGGACAAAAAGAAAAAGGAAAACCCGCCGACAGCAUCUCUUGAUCGAAAAAGGACAAUAGAUAAUACAUAGCCGUAGCGCAUGAUACAUAAUGUGUGUGGGGCACUUGUCCUGAACUAAAAGAAUAUAUGGAGUAGAAUAACAUGUAUUAAAGUUGAUUAAUGCUAAGCCGACCAGUCCCAUCAGUUAUGGGCUAGUGGACAACGAUUCUAAAUCUACACGUCUUAUUCAAUUCAAAAAAAUCUCCAAGUGAUAGGAUUGUGAUCGACUUUUACAAUUGGUACAUAUUAACACACCUACUCUUACAAUGUAAAAAGAUAUAUUAACGAUAAUUCUCUCAACAACUACAUAGACUACCUUUGAUUUCUAUAUGUAAAAUAAAAGGUAUCCCAUGACCAACCACCAGAUACCACAAGAAUAAGAUAAAGAGUAAGACAAACCAGGAUGUAGAGAAGAGAUGCAAUAACAAUAGUGCGAUAUCGACCCAGAAAGGAAUCUGCAACGAAUGCCCCAAGCAAAGGGAGUAGACACCCAGCCCCGCUAAAUGUAUUAACGUUCUGGGCAGCCACGGCCAUGGACUGCCCCAGUGGCCCCGUAAGAUAGCUUAUAAGAUUGAAUGAUAUGCCAUAGUAAGCAAUCCUCUCCGCCAGUUCCACACCUACAGAUAUAAAAACUGCUCUUAAUUCUAUACAAAACUAUAGGAAAAGUUGUUUGGUUUGUCAGAAAAGCAAAUUCCACGAGCUUGCUGGGAAGCAAACGAUUUCCCAGUAGAGCUUACCGAUGAUGAAAGAGGCUGACCUCCAACCACCAGAUCUAGAUCUCUUGGCUGGAACACCUCUGUAGUCCACAACACCCUCCACGGCGUCCUCAAGGAAUGGUGUCUCGGAGUCUAAAGAGAUGUCCGAGAUGGCCAUGUCUCGGCAAACCAGAGAUACAAAAGGGAGAUUUUCUUUACCUUUACUUUUGCUUCUCUUUUUCAAAUCCUGUGGGCAGCUGCGUUUGAGGGUUAUGCUUCUUGUAUUUUAGUUUGAUAGCUACCUAUGAGGUCAGAACACGAUUAGCGACUAUGCCAAGCCAGUUUUCUCUUAAAACUUCAAAAAAAAAACAAAACAAAACAAAAAAACGAACAAAAAAUUGAAAAAAAAAAAAAAAAAAAAGACACUAAUUGACAAACUCCACCGAACUAGAUUCUUUUUCUCUUUUGAUUUGCCAUGCAUGUGUUACCAUAUUCCUUAAGUACAAUAAGCCUUUGAAUUUGACAAUUUGAUUUAAUUUGACAAUUUGGGGAUUUGAUUUACUUAUAAUGGAACACUUUUUAUAUAUAGGUUAUUUGAUUAAAUGGAUCAAUAAAAACCCAAUUUUUAAAAUUUAAUCCUCUAUUCUUUUUUUAUUUCAUUUUGAUAAAAAUACCCUCGUUAUUUUCUUGUAAAAAUAACAUUUUAUUUUAAAACAUAAUUAUAAAUACUUGAAAUAAUAAAAAAAACAUUUAUGUCAAAAAUGGGUUACUUUUCAAGAAAAAAACAUGGGAAAUGUUAGUUUCACAAUUUAGGGACUAUUUCAUCCUUUUUAACCAAAAAUUUCUUGUAAAUAUAUUUAUCAAUAGUCACUUAUUAAAGCCUCUUUUGAAAUUGAUUUUGGGUCUCCUAGAAUCACUUUUACAAUUUUACCAUAAUUUAUUUCCUAAUAAUUUGUUUAAUAAAAUAAAUAAAAGUUAUUCUUGAACUAUAAUUCUUGAGCAAUGUUAUGAUACAACCAAUCUUUCAUAUUUUGUGAAAUGACAUAACAAUGAAUGGUAGCCAUAUUAUAUCAUUAUGUUGACAUGAUACAAUUGUGUGUGUGUGUGUGAUGAUGUAUAGUUUUAGAGUUAUGAUGAUGAUUAUACUUCUGUUGUAAUCGCUUAUAACUCUCCCCUUUUAUACCAAUUUUUUGACAUAGUGGAUCUUCUUCUCCUCUGCCAAUAGUUUUUCCCAUUUAAGAUUUUUUACGUAAAUAUAUGUGUUCUUAUUCUAUUUAUUAUUAUUAUUAUUAUUAUUGUCUAUUCUCAUUAUUUCGUAACAUACAUUAAUGUACAUCUUUUUGUAGCGAUUUGAACCACAUUGAUAGCAUAGUUUUAAGAAGAUUAAAGAUAACCUUUUGUAAGUAAUUUUCAAGCAUUAGAGUAUUUUAAUUUACUUCGAUUAUUAUGUCUUCAAAUAAUUCUCUUUCAAAAUUUCCUUACAUAUUUCUUUUUUCUUGUCCUCUCCAAAACUUUUUUUUUGGAACCUAUAUUUUAUACCAUACAUUAUAAAAUAAAAAUGAAAAAACUAUUGUUACAAAUGUAUUUGUUUAAAUUUAAUUAAAAAUAUACAAAAUGAUAAAAUUCCUUAAAAAAUUUAAAAUGAAAAUACUAAGAAUUAAUUUGUUGAUGUCAAAGUCUCUCUUCAUUUCUUCCUUUGCCUCUUGAACUUGCUUCCUUCAACCUCCAGAACUCCCCUAUUGCCUUGAGACGAGAUUUGCAGCUCAUGGUAGGGAGGAGGGGGGCGGGGUGGGGUUCCCAACGUUGGGAGGGUGUUGUCAGGGAGAUGACGAGAUUUGCAGCGUUUUGGGGGUCAGUGGAGGGAAGGGAGGGCUCUUUUCAGCUCGCUGUGGGUAAAGGGGUGGGUUGGGUCUGGGCUCCCACCUUCGAGGGGUGCUAUUGAAGGGAUGACGCUCCAGGCGAUAGUGGAGGUACCAACUGCAUGGGGAAUGGGGAAAGGGAAAGGAAAAUGAGUUGCUCGGUUCGAAUGAAACCAAUCGGUUUGUCCAAUUCAUCGAUCAAACUGUCGAUUCAAGCAGUCUAAUUCCGAUUGGAUCGCUUUCUGGUCUAAUUAGCCAGAUCGAAUCGGAAUUGUGACCGGCCGAUAGUCGAACCAGUCGGUCCAGUCCAAUUUUUAAAACCAUGUUAGAAAGAAUAAAAACACUUCUUAUAAUCACUUUCAAACGUACUCUAAGAGUCCAUUUGAUAAUGCUUCUAGUCAAAGUGUUUUUACUAGAAGUGUUUUCUUUUAUAGUGCUUCUAUGAAAAACAAUUUUAUGAGAAUUUGGAAAAAGGGUUCUAAUAAUAUUUUUGACUAUAUUGUAUGAGUACAAAAGCAUUUUUAAUAUUAAUAAAUUACCAAAAAAGACAUACAAUUUAAAAAAUGAUUAUAAUUGCUUCAUUACAAAAGCAUUGCCAACAAAUUUUUAAGUAAAAAGUUAGAUUUUUGGAAAAGAGAAUCAUAACUUUGAGGAUGAAAAUAUGAAAUUUUUUAAGAAAAUUUGAGAAAUUAGAAAAUGGUAUUUUUUUUUUUCCCUUUAUUUAUUUUUCUAUAAUCUAGGCACAGGUUGCAUCACUCGAGUACAACCACUCCUUAUGCUUCACUUUUCCUUUUUCUUGCGACUACUUUGGCUUUCUUUAGAGUGGGCAGUUUCUUCUUCUCCAUUCUAAUUUUCCUUCUUCAAAUUUUAUCACCACACUAUCGCUAACCUUCAAGCCUGACCAUAGGUUGCACCAUCAUAGCCUCACUUCAACCACAACUAUGGCAGCCACGCAUUGGCAUCUUUCUCCUACUAGUCACCCCACCAUCUUCAUGGUCGCUCACGCUAUCGAUUUUCUCCUCGUUGUUGUCCCCGUAAUGUUCAUCACCACCUUCAUUUAUCUCAAAUCUAUCGCACCACAGGCAACCUCUCCACGAACACCAUUAUGCAUUAGUAAUGGAACUACGCAGUCAAAUCACCACGACAAUGCAGCAAACCAUCCUCAACCAUACCAGUCUCAUGCCUCCAUCUCCACUACUAACCCACACAUAUCCCUACAUACCACCAAUUACCUCCAUCACUAUUCCUCAUUUGCUUUCUCCCUCCAUUUGACAUCACCAUUGAGCCUCUUAUAACCAACCAUUCAAGUCAAUGAAACAUUAACAAAAAGAAAAAUGAAGAAAAAAAAAAUGGAAAUUAUAGAGUUCAACCAUGUUGAAUAAGAGUGAUGAGAGCCUUUGGACUAUAGAGUCUCUACUCAGAUGGAGAAAGUAGGAGGAAGAGGAUAGUGAAGAAAGAAUAUAAGAGUGAAAGAGAAAGGGAGGGUAUCUAGCAAUACUUGGGAUAUUUUAGGAAUAUUUGAACAUUUUUAAAAUAUUUUUUUCAAAGGAAACACCUUCCAAGCGUUUUUCUAAAAAUCACUUCUAAGUAUUUUUAAAAUAUUGGCAAACACCUCUUUUUCACCUUAAAAACACUUUUAAGUAUUUUUAGCACUAAAAACACCUGUAAAAAGUACUACCAAAUAUGCUCUAUGUAAAUUGAUCAUCAGGGAGAUGGAAAAUGGUGUUUGAAUUAGGUGUUUAAAGCAAGACAACAAUUAAGUAAAACAUAAAAAGAAGCGAUAUGCAAACUCUUUUAUAUUAGUUUGGUAAUAUGUCUACAUCUACUCUUCUCAACUACCUAACUGAGUGAAGAUUAAUCAAGGUUUAUAACCCAAGUCUUCAAGCUUUACAAUUGGAUACACGGGCUCCAAUGGACACUUACAAUCCCUUCAAGUACUCCACCUACUUAAUGUCUCUUCACUCAAAAUGAGUAAAUAAGGAAUGUUUUAAUGUUUCCAAUCCUAGAUAUAAGUUUGGCUCACAAUAUAAGUGCACUAUUGGGAUUUGCAAAUAUGAAAUCAAUGCACUUAGAUGAAGAGCUUGAGUAAGAGAAAGAAGGUUUUUCUAAUUGAAUAUAGUAGUUUUCAUAUUUAUAAAUGUUUUAAGACUCUUCACUUUAUAGGUUUUUAGCUUGGAAACCCAAAAAUUCAUAAAAAAAAAAAAACCCUCGAUUGAUCUAUCACCGAUUGCCUAGUCAUUAGGCAUUAAAUGGUCUACAAGUGAUCAUUGGGGUUUCUAAUAUUAAUUGAAGGUGCGACCGAUCCUUACUGCACCACAAUCAAUUGAGCUUAACCGAUUGAGCUAGUUUCCCUACCAGUUCAACUGGUGCUAGGCUCCCUUAAUUAGUUGUACUUUAAAGUGCCUAAAAGGACUUGAUUUGAGGUCUCAAACUCCCAAUUACUAGUGUAAUCCUUCUUAAAACCUUUAGAGUAAGUUUAGAAAGAGUUUGGCUUAAGGUUUUGAAUUAAAACAAAGAUUCAUCCAUUUUCUUGAUAAAAACAAAGCUUUUAAGCUUAUAUGAGGAUGCAAACAAACUUUUAAAUGCAUGAAAAACAUUUUAAACCUAAGUGCACCAACAAAUACCAUCUUACAGAUUGCCCUAUGUCACUUUAAGUCUUCAAGAGUUCUAAGUCUUCAUGAUAUUGACUUUCUUUGAUAGUUAAUGCUUGAGCUUUCUUUAGAUUUUUUCAUUUGAACCUGAAAAUACCACUUCGAUUUGAGUCAUUAGUAAACUUAACCUUGUUUUAUAAUCAUUGAAACUUGGGUACAAGAACCUUUAGGCUAACAAGCUUUCCCUUUUUUAUGAUGACAAAAGUAGGCUAUCUAAGGAGGUGACUCUUUCUCAAUAAAUGCAUGAAGAACAAGUAAAUAAAGCUCAGAUAUACUCAAAAUAAAUGGAAAAUUAAAAGAAAUCUACAUAAGUGCAAGAUCAUCCAUUCAACAUUCAUCCAACUAAGGAGAUCAAGUACCAAUGGAUAUAAAUAACAUAAAUUACAUAUGAAUAGCAUGAAGUAUAUUAGAGAUAAUCAUAAAAUCCAAAGAAAUAUCCAAAAUAUCCAUGAGUGAACUUGAAAAUGAAGCAUAUCUAAACAUAUAUAUCCAUAAAAUAAAAAAAAACAACCAAUAGGGGAUUGACUAAGCAUGUUCAAAACACUCCUAACUCCCUAAAUAUGCCUAUGUAUGUAAAUAUAUCUCCCUUUUUGGAAACAUAAAAAAUAAAAAAUAAAAAAUAAAAUGGGGCAAACACUAUAGGGUAAGCUUAACGCUAGGAAGGUGGAGGUUGAAAGAAGGUGGAGGUUGAAAGAGGGAGUAGAGGUGUGCCAUCAUCUCCUCAUUCUAAGUAGCAAAGGCUAGAGGCUACUUGGUGUUGAUCUAGCUUUAUUGUGAAGGCUUUCUUAAACUAAUCAAGCUAAGUAGUUGUCCAUGCAAUCCUCAAUAGAAUAGAAUUGAGAAUCAAUAAUCAUAGUCAACUCCAUCUGUGUACCAAGAGAACUAAUCUAGCAAAAAAAAAAAAAUCUACCCAAUAUGCUACUCAACUCAUAGAGACUCAUAGGAAGUGGAAAACUUAACAAUAGGAGGUGUAGGCACCUCGGUAAAAGUCUCCUCAAUAGGUAUAUCUGUCUUAGGUUGACAAGUUUGGAAUGAAAUGUCUGAUUUCCUUACCCUUGAUCUCAUCAUCCCGCUAAAUCCUCACAUCAUGAGAUUUAACUUGGGAACAUCUAGAUCACAAGUAUGAAACUUUUAACCUCUAGAUUUAUAUUCUAUUAUGGUUUUGAUAGCCAUUAUUUUCCAUUGCAUUAGAUUUAGAAAGCCCUAAGGAUAGAUAGCAUGCACCUUACGAGAUUCAAGGACAGGGAAUAGAAGAAUUAGAGGUUCCAAUAGUAGUAUCUUAAGAAACAUUCAUAUUUUAACAUAAAUUUUGCUUCAUAUAAAGCUAACACAACAACUUUGGUAAAACAAACUUUGGUAUGCUUUAGGACUUGAUGGAUCAUAUACACCAAUUCAUAUGGCCUUUUUGUAUUUUCCUUUUUUCACUCUCUCACCCUUUUUAUCUGUCUUGAAGAUUGUUAUGAGAGUUUAUUCAUUCCCUUGUCAAAUAGGACUAGUUGGUAAGUUUUUAACUUCUUAUUUUUAUAUCAUUAAUUAAUUGUGUUCAUUUUGUUUGUGUAUUAUUUGUUACAAAUCCAACUCUAGGAUCAAGACUUCAUUGAACUCUUAUCAACAAGGGCAAUGAUUAAUUAAAAAAUUCUCGAAGUCAUGGAAAGACAGAUUUCACACAUUCUACAAAGUAGAUUUCUAUCUAGCAAGAUAUUGAGCAAUAGAUCUUCAUGGGAUAUUGACAAAAAAAAUUAUCGAUAGAUCAUUUUUCCAUGUUUGGGAUAUGCUUUGUUAUAAUCACAAAUUAUGAAAUGUUUCAUGCAUUGAAAUUUAGCUUAUGUUCAUUAUUUUUUUUAAUCUCCUCUUAUAGAAUGAUAUAUUUUAAUUUCAUUAUAUUCUAGUUUUUUGUUAAUAUUUAAAAUAUAAAAAUAUAAUCACAUUUGACAAUGGGUCCACCUUAAAAUUUGAAUAUUUGAUAUGUUUUCAUCUUCAGGAAAUGCACAUGAUAAUAUAUAUAUAUAUAUAUAUAUAGAUGACAUUUAAAACUACAAUUGUGAAAAAUGACUAAUUAAAUUAAGUGAAUCACCCAAGAAAGGGGGUGGGGGAGGGGUUGUUGAAUUGGGUGUUAUAAACUUUUUGAAAAUAUUCAACCAAACACAAAAAGAAGAGUAAUUAAUAAGCAAGAUAAUAGUUAAGUAAAGGAUAGGCAGAAGAAAAGUGCAAACUCUAUUUAUAGUGGGCACUUACAAUCCCUUCAAGUACUCCACCUACUUGAAGUCUAUUCACUCAAAAUGAAUAGAUAAGGAAGUUUUUAAUGCAUCCAAUCUUAGAACAAACAUAGCUCACAAUACAAGAGAAAGCUUAGAUGGAUUUUGAGGUGCACUCAAGAAUAUGACAGUGGGAAAUAAAUGUACUUUGAAUGUGAGAAAAGAAAGGUUUUUCAAUUGAUUGCAAUUAUUCUCAUGUUAAUAAAUGUAGUAGGUCUCUUCAAUUUAUAGGUUUUCAACUUGGGAACCCAAAAAAUACAAAACGCCCUUAACCGGUUGAACUCCAAUUUGAUGGAUGGACUACUAGUGGAACAUUAAAUGCUUUGAAUGUGACCAUAUAUAUAUAAGAAAAUGCUUAUUGAAAAUUAGUCAUAAUUGCAUCAAAAUGAUUAUGAAAAGUAGUCAUUAUAAAAGACAGAUGAAAGUGGAAAGUAGCUAUGAUUAAGAGAAGAUGACCAAUACAGAAAGUCAUUGUUGGCAUGUGAAAAUGGUCGACAAAAGACUCCCAAAGGAUGAUUGCAAGAAAGGCGAUCACCAUUUAGAACGGAUAUCUUUGGUGAAAGAUGACUGGUCUCCCUAUCAUCUUCUCUUUUUCUGGUCGUAGGGAAUUGUCACACAAAAAGCAAAAGAAAAAAAAAAACAACGUAAUCCUUUUAGAUAGGAGGAACUUUAUGGAGAUAAACCCGAACAUAACAUCCACGUCAUUAACAUUACACUACAGCGAUACGCACUUAAGGUAAAAUGUUGAAGAAAAUGCUUCUAGUAUUGGGUGCAAUAAUAACAAAAUUAAGUGCACUCAUGUUGUACUAUUAUAAAUGUAAGACUUGGCGAAAAACAUGUAGACAGCCAAUCCUAUUGCAGUGACUCCAGCAAGUAGCCAAUAAAAGUAAUCAAGAUGUGCCCGAUUGAGAUUGUCACUAAACCAGCUAUCUCGUCCAUCCCCACUAGUUAUUUUCCCAAUGACAGAGAUCAGAGAGGUGCUCAGCAACCUCCCCAAGCCAACGAUACUUAGUUGGAGGGACACGCCAACACUCCUCAAUUCACUAGGGAUCUGGUCACAGAAAAACUCCUGAAUUCCAACAUUGGUGAAUGAGUCAGAAAUUCCUAAGAAAAUAAAUUGGGGAAUCAACCACCACACCUUCAUAGGAAGAGUCGUCUUUGGCAUAUCAAGCAGCUCAUAUUCUUCAGCAGUUUUCAGACGUUUCAACUCAACUAGGGCUGCAAUUACCAUGGUAAUGGCAAUUAAAAAUAUCCCAAUUCCGAUUCUCUGAAGCAUUGUUAUGCCAGAUGGUUUUCUGGUUAAAGAUCUAGCAAUCGGGACAAAUAUGCGGUCGUAUAUAGGAAUGAAGAUGAGAACCGUGAGGGCCCUAAAAAAUUGAAGUGAAGCUGCUGGUAUGUGAAAGCCUGAACCUAUUGAUCUAUCUAGUGUAGUUCCUUGCUUGGUAAACAAAGUGGGUGGCUGUGCAAGCACAAUACCAUACCCCAAACAUGUGGCCCAUAUGGGAAACAGCCUUAGUACUGCCUUUGCUUCUUCAACAUCACUGAGGCUACAUGCCUUUCCUUUUUCCCCAGACCCCCCUGGCAGAAGCAAUGCCUUGUUGAGAAACCUGCCAUAGAAAAGAGACCAAAGUCUGAUAUAAAUUUAGAACCAUUUUGAUGAGAAGAUUUAAAGGCAAUCUUUAGAGCCCUGGAAGUUAGAAAUCUGACAAAGGCCUUGAAUUUUCAAAUCUCUUUCAUGAGAAAUAUGAUUAUUAUUUUUUUUCCCUAUUUGAGUCCUAUGCACUGAAAUAUAUAGAAAGUUGUUGCCUACUUGAACUGGUUUGAACCUUGGUAAGGGGGAAGGUUUUCUGUAGCUUCCACUGGAGGGGUUGUCUUCCAAUUCUUGGCUGCUGCAACAAAAACCCGACCAAUUCUCACAAAUGGGCUUCUCUCAUUCUUUUUUAUACUAUACCUAUAAGUCCUAGUCCCGAACAAGAAAAUGAGCAGCCCCAACACCAUGAAAAGGCAAGAGAUUCCAAAUCCAAGAAUCCAACUAACGUUGUCUUCAAUGUAGCUCAUAAUCAAGUAACUUACUGAAACACCACCAGCCAGACCAAAAAACCACCAGUUGAAGAAUGAGCUUUUGGCUUUGCAUUCCUCUUGAUCUCGUUGGUCGAAUUGCUCAGCUCCAAAUGCUUGGAGGCAAGGCUUGAGCCCACCUUGCCCAAUUGCUACUACAUACAAUGAGAAAAAGAAGAAGACUACUUGGAGCUGAGAAGGAGAGCAGGACGUUGUUUUGUUGCUGUUUUUGCAGUUGGAAGAGCUCCCAGAAGUAAACACAGAAGACACAGUCAAUAAGCCUAGUCCCUGUACUCCAUUCCAAUAGAAAUCAAAGAUAAUUGUCAACCCUGAUAUAUAGUGUUGAUUAAUUUCCUGAACCCUUCUCAUACAUAUGAUGCAAUUAACUUCAUAAUGUAUUCAUGCAAUCCAGUUCUUUGUUUUUAUUCAUAUGAUUCACCCUCCAAAACCUGGAACAAACCAGGAAUUUGGUGCGUACCAACUCCAGAAUAAGGCCGGUCAAUGAUUCGGUUCACAUUUUGAGACGGAUCAUGAGUUGAAUCAGGCGACUGAACUCAAAACAGAGGACCCAUUCCCUGGGAAUCCAACCGAGUCGCUUUUGUGCAAAAAGAGAAUAUGGGAUGCUAGGCGGACUCAUAUUAUAUAUGUCAUACAAGAACGAGAAUAUGGGAUGUGAUGAAUUAUAAGGUUUCCGGUCACCUUCUGAAAUGCCCCAAGAUCUAGAUGGGUUAUUUCACUAGCCAAAUUCAUUACCCCAAGUCAUAAAUGAAACUUGAAACUACGAAUAUAAAAACCUUUCGUUUCUCAUACCAGAAGAGCCUUAACCUUGAAUUGUAUUAUUUAUUGUUUAUUUCAAGGGAGAAAAGAAAAUGCAUUCUUCGUUUUCGUUUUUUAAUAAAGAAGAGAAAACAUAAUUUUUUUUUAGGGAGAGAUAAGAGAGACUUAUGAGAGAGAGAAAAUAAAAAAUAAAAAAUCUUUUUUAUUUAUUUUUAAUAAUGGUAGUUUAUGGGUAGUUUUAAAACUCUCAAAAACUGUUCCUCUAUUUUCUCAUUUAUUUGGGUUAGGUCUAGUCAACCCACUUGGGCACCCAAACCCAACUCCAAGAGGAUGUUAGGCAGAUUCGUAUUAUAUAUGUUACGCAAGAACGAGAAUAGACCAAAAAAAAAAAAUAGAAUAAGAACACAUAAAUUUACAUGAAAAAUCUUAAGAAAAACCCGGAAUAGAGAAAAAUGAAAUCCACUAUAUAAAAAUAUUGGUACAAAAGAGGAAAGUUACGAGUGGCUACUGCAUAUAAUCAUCAUAACAACCGUUUGAUCCCUCCACUAUCACCAUAGAUUCUCAAAAAAAAAAAAAAUCUCACAAUUAUAAAUUCACCAUAUAUUUCAUACCGCUAGCUUUUCGCAUCAAACUUUUCGGAUCAAAUUAAAUAAAAUUUGAAUCACCAAACUCUAUCAGUAUGGUUGCACUACCAUGUAAAUUACAUACAUACACUUCUCAAAAACUUAAAAAUAAUCUUUAAUAUUGUUCCCUAUGAUUGAAGAUAACAAAUAUAAAAGUAAUAUGAAUAAAAAAAAAUCAUAAAUUUUGAGAUUGCAAAAGGUUAGAAUAUAUAACUGUUAACAUUUAAACAAUAAAAUUUAUUUUAUCUUAAACGGUUAUAAAUUAUUAUUAUUUUUAUCAUUUAAUAAAAUUAUAAAUAUUAAUAAUCUAUUAAAUUUAUAUUUUAUUCUUAUCAAUAUUUAAUUAAUUUAUUAAUGUAUAUAUGUUUAAGGUUCUAAAUUAUUUAUAUAUUUAUUAACCUUUUUUUUAUAUACUUAUGAUAUCAUGGUGUGAUCAUCAAAUUGCCAAUCCAAUCAAUGAAUCGUGGCCUAAUAACUUUUUCAAUUGAGUGAACUAUAGGAUUUUUGAAACAUAAAGCUCAGUGCAAGAAGCAACUAAUUGCGGGAUAAAUUCUAAAGACUAACCAGGAUGUAGGUAAGAGAAGCAAUAACAAUGGUGCGAUAUUGACCAAGAUAAGAGUCUGCAAUGGCAGCUCCUAAGAGAGGCAAUAAAGUCGCAGUCCCGGACCAUGUAUUCACGUUGGCAGCUGCAGCGGCGGUGGACUCCCCUAGCCAUCCGGUGAGGUAGUUUAUAAGGUUGGUUUCUAUACCUUUGAAAGCAAACCUGUCCACAACUGCCAUGCCUGUAAAAAUACAUUUAGGGUCAUAUUUAUGACAUAAUUUGUCCAUAUGAUAAACUAUUUACGUGUAAAUUUUUCUUUAACUACUUCAUUUCGUACCUAUGAUGAAAUACGCAGAUUUCCAGGCACCUGAGAAGGAUCUCUUGGCUGGGUCUCCUUUGUGGUCGACGGCACCAUCUACAGUGUCGUCCAAAGUUGGAGCCUCCGAGAUGAGACAGCUAUCCAUGUGUUCGCCAAGCCAAAGCUCACCACACAAAGGAUAUGUCUUGGUAUAUAUGCAGGCUUCUCUGUUUGCGGGUAAUGUUCGUUGGGUGUACUCCAAUUCAUAGUUGUGCUUCAUGAUUCACUACGCACAAGUCACCACCACCACAUAGGAAUUCUCUUUUCUGAUGUGGUCCUAGUGCACAACUUUUGCUAUUUUCUAUUAUUUUUUCAAGUUCUGAGCAUAGAAUUAAUGGCUAUGAGAAUUUGAUUUGGGAUCGAAAGUGAUAGAAUUUGAUUUUGGAUAGUGAUGCUAGCUGCACCAUCACCCUUUAAACAAGAUGUAGAAAUAAUAUUAAUAUUUUAUUUUAUUUCUAUGUAAUGAUGAUUUCAAGUAUCAUGUACUAAAUAUUAAUACUGUUGUGAAUUUUGACUCUUCUAAUAGUAUCAUAAACUAUCUUAGAAUCUCCUUCCAUUAGGCCAUGUUUGGUUUAUGGAAACGAAAAUGUAAGAGAAAGAAAAUAUAAAAAAAUAAAAAAUAAAUUAAAAGUUUAUAAAUUAUUUUUGUAUCUUGCUUCAAACUUAUUUUACUUAUUUAACUAUUAUUAAAUAAUUUAAAUAUAUAUAAAUUUCUUAUUAAUUUUAAUUAUAUUUUAUUUUCUUUCGAUAAGAGAUCUCAUUACUAAUCAACUUGGCUCUCAUACCACUUGUUAGGGUGAAUUCACAAUAUUCCAACAAACACUAAAAUUUUUCUACCCUUUCUUUGUGCAAAAUUAAAUAGGUAAUAGCAACUAGUAGUAAUAAAUAAAUAAACUCAUGUAAUAAAAAAAUAAAUCAGACACCAUAAUUUUUACAUGGAAAACCCCCCAAUGCGAUGGGAAAAACCACUGGAUCUAGUCCAGUUAAAACAUCCACUAUCAAUAAUAAUAAGUUACACUUGUCUUCUCUAGAAUAAUCUCUAAAGGCUGUCAAAUACAUCAAGAGCACAUAUAACCUUAGAUUAUAUAAUCUCUCAUGGCAAAAGACACAGAAAAAUUGGAGAAAAUAUACCCAAAAAAAUGUUGUUACUGUUCAUGGGCAAUAACACCAGUUCUCAAGCUCAAAAUCUGAUCUCCACCGUUCAGAUUGUAACUAUUCGAGUUUCAAACCUCUCCUCCAAAUUUCAACUCGAUCGGACCACGGAUGAAGUAGGAUCGGCUUAUUGAUGAAAUCUAGACAAAUGUGUUUUUUUCUCUUUCUUCUCUUCUCUCUGUUUUUCUUUUUUCCCAAUCUCCUUUUUUUUUUUUUUUAAUGUAACUGACUUGGGCCCCAAGCAUAUAGGGCCCACUCCCUCACAUACGAGGGAGCCCGACACUUUUUAAUCAUUAUUCAUUAUUCAUAUUUAUAUAAUUAUUUUUUAAAACAAUUUUCAAAAAACGAAUUGAAAUAAUUAAAAAUAAUUAAAAUAUAUUAUCUGAAAAUACUAUUUUUUGUUGUUUAAAACAAAAAAUAGUUUUCUAUUUUGUGAUUAUCAAAUGUGUUUUUCUAUUUUAUUUGUUCUAAAAAAUAAAAAACUAUUUUCGAAAACAGUUACCAGAUCUUAAGUUAUUUUGUCAAACAUGUUUAAUCUAUGUAAUAACUUGAAUUAAAUUGAUGUAUAAAGUUGAUUUACUAAACACCCUCUUAAUCUUCGUAAAAAAUUCCACUUUAAAAACCCAAAUUGCACCCCGAAAUAAUUGUUCUCAUCACUUCUAUCAUAUUUUCUUUUUGUAUUAAAAAUGUGGUUAGUAUAGGUUAAAGUUAUGUUUAGUAACCAGGAAAUUUUGAGGGAAAAUGAAAAUAUAAAUAAAAAAAAUAGAAGGAAGGGAAAAAAAUUAUAUUAUAUUUAAAAUCAAACAUUAAAAAGCCCACUAUAUCCAUUCACACGAAAGAAAAAACACAUACAAAUAAUAUGAAAUAUUUGAAUUUUACAACAGAGAUCAUCUAAUAUAACAAUUUGCAUUUACUAUAUUCUAUAUUGGUGGAACAAUAAUAAUAAAAAUGAAGGAAGCUUACGUUGUAUUUCCCCUAUUAUAAAUAUAGGAUUUUGCAAAAUACAAGUAGGUAGCCAACCCAACUGCACUGAGCCCGGCCAGCAGCCAGUAGAAGUAAUCAAGAUGUGCCUGAUUAAGAUUAUCAUUGAACCAGCUACCUUGGCCAUCUCCAUUAGUUGUUUUGUCGAUGACAGAGAUGAGAAAACUGCUCAGGAAGUUCCCUACACCGAAGAUACUGAGGUAGAGGGCGAGGCCGACACUCCUUAAUUCAUUUGGGACCUGAUCAUAGAAAAACUCCUGCAGACCAACCAUGGUGAACACGUCCGAAACUCCAAACAAGAUGUAUUGGGGAAUCAACCAGCACACGCUCAUUGGAACCGUCACCUUUGGCAUAUCAAUCAAUCCGUAUUCUUCAGCGGUUUUGAGCCGUUUCAUCUCAACCAGGGCUGCAAUUACCAUGGAGAUGCAAGAUAAGAAAAUCCCAGUUCCGAUCCUCUGAAGCAUUGUUAUGCCAGAUGGUUUCCUGGUUAAUGAUCUUGCAAUGGGAACAAAAAUGCGAUCGUAUAUGGGGAUGAAGAUGAUAAUGGCAAGGGUGAUAAAGGACUGAAGUGAAGCUGCUGGUAUCACAAACCCUGAUCCGAGUGAUCGAUCCAUAGUAAUUCCUUGCUUGGUAAAGAAAGUCGAUGACUGUGCAAACACAAUAGCGUAGGCCAAACACGUAGCCCAUAUGGGAAAGAGCCUCAGAACCGCCUUUGCUUCUUCAACAUCACUGACACUACACACCUUGCCAUUGUCCUUGGAACCAUCCGGUGCAAGCAAGGCCUUGUUAAGAAACCUAUAACAAGAGUUAGGGUCACAUUAUACUAUGUUAGAUGGGUUCCAAUAUGCUUUGUGGACAUCUUGAUGGCAUUGAAUUCGAAAUAAUUUUCCCUGAGAACUAUGUGUUUGCCUACCUUUUUUAAAUAUCAGUGCAGAAACUCAUAUCUCUUACCUGAACUGCAGAGAACCUUGGUGAGGUAGGGUUCCUCGAGCUACCUCUUCAAAAUUUAGAGACGAAUCAGUUGUCCUCCAAUUUCUAGCUGCUGCAACAAACACCUGACCAAUCCUCACAAAUGGGCUUUUCUCAUCUCCAUUGACACUAUACCGGUAUGUCUUGGUCCCAAGCAAGAAAACAAGUAGUGCAAUCACCAUGGCAAUACAGGGGAUUCCAAAUCCAAGACCCCAAUUCAGGUUGUCUUGAAUGUAGUUCAAGAUGAAGAGAGUUAUUAGAGUACCAAAGCACAUAGAGAAGUACCACCAGUUGAAGAAUGAGCUUUUGGAUUUGCCCUCCACUGGAUCUUGUCCAUCAAACUGGUCAGCUCCAAAAGCCUGGACACAGG
rnacentral:lncRNA from 1 species